ACUUGGCACUGAAAUAAAACAAAUUCCGCCACACAUUGAUCAAGCAAUUUAUUGCCGGUGAUUGAUGGUAAAUACCUUGAUUGUAUUCACAACUGCGGUGAGUAAUAGGAUUUUUUUUUUCAUAUUUAUAAUAGCCACUAUUGUUCUUGAUAAGGGUUGUGAUCUUAAAAGUGAAAAUGAAUUUAUAUAUUUUUGUAUGCAAAUAACCGUAAAUAGAUUUUGUGAACAAUUAAUCUUUUCCCUUCCCACUAAUAUAAGUUAUGUCAAAUUUUUUAGUAACUUAUUCUCUGUCUCUUCUCUUUUCAAUCUAUUUUAAUUUCUGUAAGAACUAAAAUCAAAUUUUAAACUUCAAAGAAAAACAGCUUUUGUUUUCUAAUUUUGAUUUAAGUAUUAAUUGUACUUUUGCACCUACUGUUUAUUACUACUGCCCUUUAUUGGAGCAAGAGGUUGCCGGGUGUUAUAUCAUACCUCUAAUUCUUUAACCUUGCCUAUUUCUUCAUUGCAGUAGAAUUCAAAUUAUGCAGUUGCUUUUACUGAUUUCUGUGCAUGCAUAUAUUUUUUACAGGUUGAUGUGAGUGUUGGUGAAGCAGGUGUGAAUACUUUGUAUUAGGAUGCACUAUGAAAAUAGGGGAAUUGUGAGACCCUUUGUUGAAUGUUUUUUGGUUAAUUUCUGGCUUUGGAGAGCUCUUGAACACUAUUAUCAGGACUGUCUGAAAGCUUAAUAUGAGCUUUCAAAUGUUACAUAAAUGCCGGGUCCCCAGGUUGGGUUUCCAUGGUUUACAUUUGCAGAUGUGUUUGUUACAAAGUGUUGUAAGUCCAGAGUUUGCAUUUCCUUAGUAAUCCAUUUAACUGUUUACUUAGGAAUGUACCUUACUAUGAAGACAUCCCUAUCUAUUCUACAAUAAUAUGCGGUUUCUUCUGCUCAUAUAUUUGCAGUCACCAAUGGUCUGCAAUUAAUAGGUUUUGGUAUUGAUGUGUUUUAUGGACAGCACUGAACAUGUUAUAACACAUUGGGGUUAGCAAAAGCCACACAGUUGAACAAAAUCAAACGAAUGGCUUAAUUAUAAUGUUAAAGCAUUUAAGCAGCUCCAUCUUUUCACGAGAUUGACUUCACAAGCAAUUAGAAAAACCGAGUCUGUCAGCAAUAUAAGAUAAUGAUUUUCAGGCACAUUAUCCGUGCAACUCCAUUCCUUCUGCAUCUUUAUAUAUAUUUUUAAUUCUAAUACUAUCCUUCUCAAUAUAUGUUAAGGGAAGGGUUUCUCUUUUGAUGGAAAGUGUAGUAACUUUUUCAUUUUCAAUUGGUUUUGAUUGUUUGUGGUGUGACCAGUUGGUGGUUGUUGGUGUGAAUGGUAGUGGUUAAGGUAAAUUUUAUAUUGUUUUCACUUUUUUUGUUUUUUCAUUUUGUUUGUAUAUCAGAUUAACAUUUUCUUACUAUAAUAUGGGUUUAAGAUUAGAUGGUAUUUUCACGAAAUUAUCUUUUGUAUAAUUUUAAAUAUAUUUAAUAAUUAUAUUAUGGAUUGGACAAUGCAAAAUACAUUUAAAAAUUAUAUUUUGGAUUGAACAAUUGGAUUUUGAAUUCUACAAUUUAGAAGAAAAAAAAUUCAAAAUGCAAAAAUGAGUGCAACGAAUAAAGUAUAAACAAAUUUUUUUACUUACGCGUUGGUGGAAAUAAUGCAACUGCUUAAGCUUCUUCACAAAUAAUGCAAUGGUUUACACCAGUUCACAAAAAUGCAACUGCUUAAACCUCUUCAACUCUCUGCAUAUAAUUAACACUUAAAUGCUCUCUCAAAAGGAAUGUAAUUGCUUAAGCCUCGUCACAAAUAAUACUUAGUUGAUUAUUCCUGCACUAUAUCAAUUUAAAUUCACACUAAACACAUUAUCCUAAACACACUGACGUGAAAUGUUCGUUAUGUCUUAAAUUAUUUAAAAUUUUUGUUUUCGAAAUAUUCAUAUUUAUAAGUCAAAUAACAAAGUUUUGAAUAAAAUCCAAUCCUAAUAUGUCAUUUCUGAAUUUUGUUAUCCGAAAGUUUAUCUGAACAACAUAAAUGAUUUUCAGAAGUCAAGAUUCGUAAGCAAACAUAAAUGAAUUCCGGAUUUCGAUCCUUAACACCAUUUGCAACACACCAUUUUGGAUAUGAAAAUUCAAAACUCAUAACUCACUUUUGAAUAUGGUCAUUUAAAAUCUUAAAAUAGAUAUUAAAAUCUGGAGUAUAUAACAAUCACUUAUGGAUUUUUGAAGUCGUAAGCAAAAAUGAAGUCAAGGUAAUGUUGGAUUUUAAAUUUUGUGUCGGGGUAUAUGACUUAAAUGAUAUAUUACAUGAACAAAUUGUCAUAAUACUUAAAUGCUCUCUCAAAAGGAAUGCAAAUUGCUUAAGCCUCUUCACAAAUAAUGCAUAUGUUUAAGCCCCUUCAGCCCUCUGCAUGUAACUAACACUUAGAUGCUCUCUCAAAGGAAUGCAGGUAUUUAAAGUUUUUUAAAAUGAUAAAAGAGUUUAUUCACAUUUUAGUAUGGAGGUGAAGAGGAGUUAUGGAGAUGGAGGUAGAAAGUGCCUGAUUUUCAUGGGAAAUCAAUGUAGAGAAUAGAUUAAAAUUAGAAAAAUGAAAUAAUUUGAAAUGAUGAAUUCAAAUUUAAUAGAUUUGAAUGUGUUAAAAACUGUGAAAUUCCUAAUCCAAGUCGAAGGUUAAAGUUUAUAUUAAAUUUGCAAUUGAUGAGCGUAAUAAUUUUACUUGUUUUGAUAAACACAAAAAUCACAAGUCAUGAUCUAAGUCAGAGAAGGCGUAGUAACAUUCUAACUAUCUUUUUCUUGAAAUUCUUUUUAACAUUCACCGUUACGCCUCAUAUAAACGUGGUUUUCAACUAUUGUUGUUAGGCUGCAUAAAUUGAAAAAAAUUAAAAACUCAAAGAAAAAAUCUAUAAAAUUUAUAUAAAUUUUAAUAUAAAAUUAAAAUAUGUAAUAAAGAUUUAGCACAAUUAGAAUAUGGCCGAAGUCAUGUUCCUACAAAAUGACUAACUCACCACCAUGUCCUUCUCCAUGAUGACAUCUCUAUGAAAACAGCAUACCCAACAACUCUGAAAAGAAUCUGAAAAUCAUAAAUGAUUGGCCAAGUAUCUUCAUGAGUCCCUAAUGAAAUAUUCCUUGAUUUGAAAGCAUAGCAAAUAUUAUAAAUUGUCUCUUUCAAGGAAAUAAACUAAGAAUGAAGAAUCCAAAAUUGUUUGGAAUAAUUCAAAGAAUGACGUUGUGCUGCAAUUCCUUCCUUCAUAUCAUACUAAAACUAUAUCAUUUACCUUCCAUCCAUAUCAACUAUAACUAUACUUCCUUCAUGCAUCAUCUAUCAUCUUCCAACAACUUUUCUACUUAUGCACACUUUUUCUUUUCUUCACAUUAUUCUAAAGAGUCUACCAUCAUUUCCAUAACAUAUUUAGCUAUUGCAAUUAUUAUUUUCUAUUUCUUCUUUUCUUUCCGUCUUUGCCUCUAAAGGUAGGUGUGAGUGUAUACAUACACACAAAAAUAAAUUUAUGUAGUACAAAAAUUGGGUGACGUUGUAUUAUUUAUUUGUUUGCAGUAAAAUGUCAAUUCGAACAAACAAGAUGAAAGCAGUACCUGUGUUGCUGAAGCAGUUGAUGACAACAAGGAACAAAUUCCAUGAAAGGGGAAGAGAUGAAUCAUUUGAAGGGAAGUUGGAGAAGUUGAGAUUGGAAGUGAACAAGAUAAAGGAUGUAUUUGCGAGAGUGAAGAAGAAUGAAGAAGAAUUGCUUGACACAUUAGCAGAGGUGCAUGGUCAUCUUCGCAAGUUAGACCGUAGGAAGCUGGAUGAAGACAUGGAUGACAUUUGCAAGAGAAUCAUAGAUUCUGCUCACAAGUUACUCCCAAUGGAUGCUUUUGAUGAUUUAUCUAAGGAGGAGGAUCACAAGGGUGGCCAAAUAUUUCACACAUCACAACAGUUGCAGCAACCCCAUCAGAAGAGUUGGACUCUGGAAGAUUAUUACUGACUAGACCGUGUAUCAAAAGGUUGCUUGUCAUCUCUCCUAUUUUUACCUGAGAACGUUGUCAUAAGGAAAAGUAGUGCAAUUAAUUUGUGGAUUGGAGAGGGUUUCAUUAGAGGUACAAUGAAUAAAACAACACAGGAAUUGGGUGAGGAUGUGAUUGAUGAUCUUUUGAAAUUUAAUGUGAUUGUACGCUAUGGUAAUGGAAAGGGUUCCACUAUCAAUAAAUUUCGAAUUCAUCCUAACUUCCGUCGUCAAUCAAAAUUGUAUGUAGAGCAUCGAAAACUUUAUUUGGAAGUAUCUCAUUAUGGAGAAAUUGAACUAAGUCGGUUACAGCUUAAGCAAAAAGAAGUGACACUAGGUGAUCGGUAUUUUGGUUUUAGAUAUACUAUUUUCAAUGUGGUGCAAGUUAUCUAAAUUUUAGACCACAAUGGGUCAAACAAUUUCCAAAUUUAAAGGUGCUUCAACUUGGGUGUUGGCAAGAUUCACCUUUGCAUCACAUUGAAGUUGGGAGUGAAGAAUUCUUGAAAGAGUUGAGAAAUCUAACGCAGUUGAAAUAUCUUAGUUUCCGUGGGAUAUCAAGAAUAUUCGAGCUUCCUUCCUCCAUUGCUCAACUUGAGAGACUACUAGUUCUUGAUCUGAAAGCUUGCCAUAAUUUGGAAACACUACCUAAUGAUAUUUCAUCAAUGAAAAGUCUCACACAUCUGAUUUUGUCCCAAUGUUACUUACUGGAGGGAAUGCCAAAGGGGAUCGAGAAGCUCACUAAUCUCCAAGUACUAAAGGGAUUUGAAAUAAGCACUCCUAAAAAGACUCCUUGCAGAAUAUUAGAUCUUGUAAAUUUGAAAAAACUAAAGGGACUAAGCGUACAUAUAGGAACUGAGGCCGUGAUCAAGGAUAUGGAGUUUCUAGGUUUGGAAGAUUUUUUUGAACUUGAGUGUCUGAAGAUAUCUUGGAGUGUGUCUGACUCAAGGUAUGACAAUUUUCAGGCCAUUUUGCCACCACGUUUGAGAAAGUUGCAUCUUGAAUGUUUUCCUGGAAAGAGUUUUCUAGGACGAUUUUUGCCUGGCGAGAGGAAAGGUUUGUUGUCAUCAUUGGAGCUAAAUAUAAGUGGAGGAAAAGUGGAAAAUAUGGAAGUAGAUUUUAAAUGGUGGAAGGUGGACAUACUGCGUCUGAAGUACCUUAAGCGAUUGAAUGUCAACAUAGACGAUUUGAAAUCAUUCUUUCCUGAGCUGAAAUAUGUAGAAAUUAAACAAAUUUCAAAUCAUUCAUACAUUGAGCAUGAAUGGAACUCCUAAUAUGAAUCACAUACUGAUUGAUAAGAGAGGUUAGAUUCAUGUCUUAAAAUAUUGUGUAUACUUAUUUUGUUAUCUGAAUAUGCUAUUCCCAAAUGUUUCUAUAUAUAGAGAGUGUAUGUAAGAGUGAACAAAAAUUAAAAAAUAAGAAAAAAUAAAUGAUAUGUCUCUCUUAUUAAACUUGUUAUCUCUAAUUAAGUACAACUUUAAAGCUGAAUUUUGAACACAUCCUUGUCCGUUCCGCAUCUGACAAAAAAAGCAUGGCCAAGCCCAAAACUAAAUAGGACUCGAACCUAAGUCAUAGGACACAAUUUAAUAUUCCAAAGAAAUUGCAACAACCAAAACUCGAACUCAAGUCCUUCCAGUAACUAGAAAAGAAUUAACCACUAAACCAGACAAGUUCUUUGAUCAUAUUAUCAUUUUUAUUAUACUUAUUAUUAAUAUAAUUUAUACAUAUUAAUAUAAUUAUUAUUAUUAAUAAUAAAAUAAAUUAUACUCAUAUUAUUAAUAUUAUUACUAAUAUUAUUAUUAAUAUUAUUAUUAACAUUAUUAUUAAUAUUAUUAUUAACAUUAUUAUUAACAUUAUUAUUAACAUUAUUAUUAACAUUAUUAAUAUUAUAUUAAUAUUAUUAAUAUUAUAUUCAUAUUAUUAAUAUUAUUAAUAUUAUUAAUAUUGUUAAUAUAAUUAAAAUCAUAAUAAUACUAAAAAAUUUGCUUGGUGUAGUGGUUAAAUCUAACUUAUAAUCCAAAAUAUAAUAAUCAACUAUAUUCCAUGAUUUUAAGUUAAUUCUAUAACUAUCAUGAAAUAACUCAUAUUUCUCAAAUUGCUUAUGAUACUCUCUUUCAGCCUUUACAAUGCACUUCUUAGUUCAACUCCUACCUUGACAAUGGACUAAGGUUAUUAACUUGUUCAUGCUGGGGAGAUGGGACCUAGAGAACCAUUGAAGUUUUCGUCUUUUUCCCUCAGUCAGGCAGGUUGUUGGGUGCUUGACUGUGGUACUUCUCAUCUUCGUGCUUCUCCCUCGGCUCUCGCUAUCAGGCGAACAUUGGGAAUCUAUAUUAACACACUUAUAAAGAAUAUUGCAUAUGUGUCACCUCGUUACUUACAACUUAAUAAUGUGCUUCAGUUGGAAAACAUUAAUUUCUUUUAAAGAUCAUACUCAGUAACUAUAACAAUGACAUUUAUUGACCAUGUAGUCAACUUUGAAACACUUUGGGUAUUGUAUUAAUUUAAGAAUUAAGAAUAAGUUACUUACUCACGCACUUAGUCUUAAUAUGUUUGUAUCAUAUACAUAAUUCUUUAAGAUGAUCUUAUGCUUCAUUUAUGAGAAAUAACAUCUUUAAAAUUAUAAUGGAUAUCAAAACAAAAAUCCUAGUUCAUUAAGCUAUUGCACAAAUAUAACAUUUAAAUUUAUUUAAGUUACUAAUGAAAAGUUUUAUCUAACUUUUUUUUUCUUAAACCAAAUAAAACAUUUUUAGAUAAAAUUUAUUCUCUAUUUUUAAAUACAUCCAUUACCAUUUGCAUUAAUUAAUUACUUCAUUUUGAAUUUAUAUUCUUAAAUUUAUGUAUAUUUUAUAUAAUAUUUACAAAAUUUAAAUACGCAUUUUUUUUACUUUUCUUUUACUAUUUUUUAAUUAAUUAUUAUUUUUCUACAUGUUUUCAAAUCUUUAUAAACUUUUUAAGAUAACUUCAUUUAAAUAAUUUCAAAAUUAAACACUUCCUCAAAUUAAUAAAUUUAAUUUAACUAAUUUAUAUCAUAAUUUAAAAAAAAAUAUUUAUGACAAUAUAUAAAUAAAAUAAAUUUAAAAUAAAUAAUUUUUAAAAUAAUAAAAUAUUUUAUAUAACAUUUAAAUAAUUUAAAUAGAUCUUUUCUUUUACUAAAUUAAUUUUAAAUCAAACACUUAAUUAAUUUAAUAAUUUUAAUUUAACUAAUUUAUAUUAAAAUUUGAUAAAUUAAAUAAUUUAUUAUAAUAUUAAAGAAAUAAUUUUAAAAUAAAUACAAUAAAGAAUUAAAUAUUAAAAUAUUUGUUAUACAUUAAAUAAAUUUAAAUUAAUAAUUUUAAAAUCCUAAAAUAUAAACAUGCGUGGGUUGUGACGGACGCAUAUGCGUGGGACGCAGCCGAUGCAUAUGCGUGGGCCUGGACCGACGCAAAUUGGACUGUUUAAAAAAAAAACAUUAAAUCCAUAAGUGCGUCCGUUUUGCGUCCAUUUUCAUUUUUGCGUGGGUUUCUCGCCAUUUUAGCCGACGAUAGUAGCAUCCGAAAAUGACCCACGCAGAAAUUUGGAAGCUAUUUGGCUGUUUUCUUGUAGUGAAUAUUCAAUUUACUACAAUAAUUUUUAAAAAAAAAAAAAUCAAUUUGAUUCCAAAUUUUUAAAAAAAUACAUAAUUUGGUCCCUUAUGUUAAAUUUCUAUUAGUGACAUUGUUAAAUUUCUAUUAGUGACAUUCAUACUGUUAUUGAUAAGAGGUUUCUAUUUUUGGAGUCUUCGGUACAGUUCUUCAUUUACACGAUGAAUUUGGUUGGAAAUGUUAGAAUGUUUAAUGGAUGGUGAUGUACGAAGAGAAUGACUUGGUAUAUGUCAUGUGUCUUGUUCUUAGCUUUCUUUUGUUUCCCCUUUGUAUCUGUAACUUCUGCACAAAAUAAUGAAUUCUUUGUUUAUCAAAACGAAAAAAAAAUGGCAAUAAUGAGGUUUUAUAUAAUUUUCAUUCAGGCUGAUAAGCUUCGCUCCCCAAAGUACCAACCUUCAAUAGAACAUCUGAUUCUGUAAGAUAAGAGAGAGAGAGGUGCUAGAGAGAAAGAGUAAACACGUGUGUUGUUGUUAUAUUGCAUGGUACAGGAAAGAAAAGAAUAUACAAUAUUUAUAGGGAUUAGGUAGGCUUUUGGUGCACUCCGUUAACAGCCCCCCGUAAACUUAGGUGGGAUGAUUUAUCAAACACCCUAAGUUUACACUUGAAGGAGUGAAAGGGAGAGCCAGAAAGAGGCUUAGUUAAUAUGUCUGCAACUUGAAACUGAGAUGGUAAGUGAAUGAGAGUGAGACUCUUAUCAAGGACAUGAUCCCUGACGAAGUGAAGGUCGAGUUCAAAAUGUUUAGACCUAGAAUGCAUGAUGGGGUUUGCAGCAAGUUGAACAGCACUCAGGUUAUCACAGUAUAGGCGUGGUGUAGGGGAACGGAUCCGCAACUCAUGCAGAAGAGAUUGAAUCCAGAUCAUAUCAGUUAAGGCAGCAGCAACACUCCGAUAUUCCGCCUCUGUGCUGCUGCGCGAAACUACUUUCUGCUUCCUGGAGACCCAUGAAACUGGAUUGAGGCCAAGAAAGAUGCAGUAACCGGUUGUGGAUUUGCGGUCGUCUAGGUCAGUGGCCCAGUCGGAGUCGCUGAAGCCGAUGAUGGAGUAUGACGAAGAAGCACGAAGAUGAAGACCAUGAGACGAGGUGCCAGCUAGGUAGCGAAGAAUUCGUUUCACAGCUUUCCAGUGAGAUUGCUGAGGUUUGUGCAUAUAUUGGCAAACACGGUUGACAACAAAGGACAGUUCGGGUCUAGUGAUGGUAACGUACUGUAAGGCACCGACGAUAGAGCGAAAGAGCGUAGGGUCCUCAACAGAUGUGGAACCAUCAGCGGUAAGACGAAGGGAAGAAACCAUGGGUGUGGGUUGAGGUUUAGCAUGAAGCAUGUCGGUGCGGUGGAGAAGAUCACGAAUGUAUUUGGACUGAGAGAGAUGCAUGGAAUUAUGAGCGUGCCAGGUGACUUCCACUCCUAAAAAAAUAGUGCAAACGACCGAGGUCCUUUAGGGCAAAGUGAGAGGCGAGUUGUGUGAUAAACAGCUGCACCAAGGCAUGCGAACUACCAGUGACCAGGAUAUCAUCAACAUAGAUGAGAAUGAACAAUGUUGCAGUAGGAGUGAAGCGAGUGAAGAGGGAAGUAUCACUCUUGGAAGGGAGGAAACCCAUGUGGAGAAGAGUGUGAGACAGUUUCUGGAACCAGGAGCGUGGUGCUUGUUUAAGAUCGUAGAUGGCUUUGUGUAAACAACAAACUUGAGAGGAAUCACUGGAAGAAAAUCCCGGAGGUUGUUGCAUGUAAACCGGUGAAUCAAGCUCACCAUGCAAGAAGGCAUUGUUGAUGUCAAGCUGGUGAAUGGGCCAACAUGAGGAGAGAGCAAUGGUGAGCACGAUACGAAUGGUGGUUUGCUUGACAACAGGACUGAAGGUGUCGGAAAAAUCAAGGCCUUCACGUUGGUGGAAUCCUUUGGCGACAAGGCGGGCUUUGUACCGUUCAAGAGAACCAUCAGCGUUGAACUUUCUCUUGAAAACCCACUUGCAGCCAACCAGAUUGGCGUUGGGAGGCAGCGAAGUCAGUGUCCAGGUUUUGUUGUGAAGGAGAGCAUCAUACUCAGUUUGCAUGGCACGAAACCAAAGUGGAUUAGCCAUGGCUUGUUUAUAGUUAAGAGGUUCAGAAAGGUCAGGAGAAAUGGAAGAAUGAAAUAAUUUAGGUUUGGAAAUACCUGCUUUGGCACGAGUGAGCAUGGGAUGAGUGUUAGUAGGUGGUGCAGGAGAAGGCUCGGUAGGAAAAAUAGGGGAUGAAGCCGAAGGUGGAGAGGACUCCGUGUGACGUGAGGAUGUGGGGAUGGAGGCACGAGGAGCGGGAGUGGCGACAGGAGGAACGGAAACAACAGUGAGAGAUGCAGGGGAAGAAGCAGAAAUAUCAGAGGUAGAAGAACAUAGAAAAGGGUUAGCUGUGAGAGAAUAAGGAAACAGAGACUCAUUAAACAAAACAUUGCGUGAAACAAGGAGCUUACCACCAGUAGUGAGGCAGAGGUAUCCUCGUCUGUGAGGAUCAUAGCCAAGAAACAGACAUAAGGAGGAAUGAAAAUCAAAUUUAUGUUGGUUAUAAGGACGCAUCAGAGGAUAACAGGCACACCCAAAAACUUUAAGAAACUUAUAGUCAGGUUUAAUAGCAAGAAGAGUUUCAUAGGGACUAAUAUCAUUUAGAACAAUGGUAGGUAAAACAUUGAUAAUGUGAACAGCAGAUGUAAACGCUUCAGCCCAAUAAGUGAGAGGAAGAGAAGCACUAGCAAGAAGAGCAAGACCAGUUUCAACAAUGUGACGAUGUUUUCUUUCUACAGAACCAUUUUGUUGGUGUGUGUGUGGGCAAGUAAGACGGUGAUCAAUACCAAAGCGUUGCAAGGUUUUUGUUAAAGCAAGAAAUUCUUUUGCAUUAUCACUUUGAAGAGCUUUGAGAGAAAAACCAGUUUGUUUUUCAGCAAACAAUUUAAAGCGUAAAAAAACAGAAGUUACUUCAGACUUAGAGUGAAGAAGAUAGAACCACGUAAACCGAGAGAAUGCAUCAAGAAAAGCAAUGUAAUAUAGCGAACCAUUUGUGGAGGAAGUAUGUGAGGGACCCCAUAUAUCAACAAAAACAAGUUGGAGUGGUGUAUUGUAAGAAGUUAAAGAACGAGAGAAAGGUAAUUGAUGAGCUUUAGACUUAGCACAGGCAUCACAGAAAGUAGUAGUUUUAUUACAGGUAAUGUUCUGUAAACGCAUAAUAUGGUGAACAAUACGAGAUGAAGCAUGGCCAAGACGUUGGUGCCAGAUAUCAUAACUGUUCAGCAAAGUGUUAGUAGAGGCAGUAUGAACAGCAGGGUGCAUAUGAACAGAGGGUGGCACAGAGCGUUGUAAAUGUGGAAAAACAUAAAGACCAUCAUGAAUUUUGCCUUGGAGAAGAAUCUCUCUUGUAACCUGAUUUUUGACAAAACAGUGAUCAACAAAGAACUCAAAAAACACCCCAUUAUCACGGGCAAACUGUGAGACACUGAUAAGAUUUUUGUUAACAGAAGGCACAUGAAGAAGAUUAUGGAGUUUGAAAGAGGGAGAAGAGUUGGAAGAAGAAAGAACGGCAGAGCCAAAAGCACGAAUGGGCAUACCUGAACCAUUACCGAGGUGAACGAAGUCAUUACCAGUGUAUGUGUUGGUGGAGGAGAAAACAGAAGGAUCAUGGGUUAUGUGAUGAGUGGCACCAGUGUCGGGAUACCACAAAGGAUCUUGAACAGUUGAAGGAGUGCCCAAGAUGGAAGGUUCAGAAUGAGCAGGGUGUGAAGACGACGAAAAGAAAGUUGCAUUAGCAGAAAUUGGUGAAGGUCCCUUGAUAUCAGAACGAGUCCAGCAAGUAAGAGCCGUGUGACCAUAUUUGAAGCAGAGCUGACAUUGAACCCGGGCAGGAGCGGUGGAGGAAGACUGAGCAAUCCAGGGAGAAUGUGGGCCACGAGAAGAUUGAUACCGUUUGGUGUUGGUAUGGGACCUGAAGAAACCGCGACCACCACGCACAUUAUGGCCACGAAAUACAGAAGUAGAGGAAGGUGAGGGGUUCCAGGUGCUGGAAGCAACAUUAGCUUGGACGAGAGAGUGCUCAAGAGAGCGGUGCUUCUCGAACCGUUCUUCUUGAGCAAAAAGCAGAGCCUCAAUAUCCUCAAUAGUGUAGGGAUCAAGACGUGAGGUAAUGGACGUAAUAAAAGCAUCAUACUCUUCAGGAAGACCAUCCAAGACAGCAUCAAUGUGGUCUUCAGCCGUGAUAGCAGAACCAGUGGCAGCGAGAGAGUCCACCACUUUCUUGAUAUCAAGAAGGUAGGCAGAGAUGGAGCGAUCACGUUUAGGGGUUUUGAGCAGAAGCUUGAGUUUGCGAACCUUGGCGCGAGUGUGGGAAGCGUAGUAGACAUUUAACUUGUCCCAGAUGAGAGAAGCCGAUCGUAAUCCAACCAUUUGUGUAAGCAUGGAAGGAGACAUAGAAGCAAGAAGCCAAGCAACAAGCAAAUGAUCUUGUUGCUUGUGAAGGAGAAAGGCAGGGUUGACGGUGGUUCCAAGAACCUGAGGGGGGGUGAGGGGAGAUUCCAAGAACGAAAGAAGAUUGAGUCCCUCUACCUGAGCAAGAACUUGUUGGCUCCAAACCAGAAAGUUAUCAUCCGUUAAUUUGAGAGAAAGGGCAGUGGGAAAGGUGUGAAGCUGAACAGGAGAAGGAGAAGGAGAAGAGACUGUUGGAGCAGAGGUGGAAGAAGAUGAAGAAGAUGAAGAAGACAUGGCUGGAAAAAAAAGCUCUGUAUACCAUGUAAGAUAAGAGAGAGAGAGAGAGGCGCUAGAGAGAAAGAGUAAACACGUGUGUUGUUGUUAUAUUGCAUGGUACAGGAAAGAAAAGAAUAUACAAUAUUUAUAGGGAUUAGGUAGGCUUUUGGUGCACUCCGUUAACAGAUUCAACUUCUUUCUCGAUUUCAUCAAAACUUGAUAAGUCUGACUAUGAUACCAUAUUUAGAAGUGAACUUUAAACCUUAACUUUCAUUAAAAACAAACUUAUAAGAUAAAGUUUAGAACAGAAAUUACACAAUAUUAUGCAUUUGUGGAAGAGAGGCAGAAAUUCCACUGCCUAAAUACUAAAUACUGUUUUAUCUAAGGUAAAUCUCUGUCAAUCAUUUUCUGCAAUUCCUUGAAUCGGGUUGAACUUAUUGUGAAGAAAAUCACUGAACUUGGGUAUUCGUGUUUCUAUAUUCAUGCAAAGAUGUUGCAAGAGCACCUCAUUUGUCGUGCUAUGUUGUUCUCUUCUCCGGUCAUGCAAAACUCACUGAUCUUUCGCUGUGUGGUAGUGCAUCGUGCUUUCUGGUCGCAGUUCUCUUUGCUCGCGGUUCUCUCUACUCAUGAUUCUCUUCACUACCAGUUCUCGCCACUCCUGGUUCUCUCUAUUCACGAUUCUCUUUGCUCGCAUUUCUCUCCACUCCCGCUUCUAUUUGUAACACUUCAACUACAAAUAAUGGUUAUUUAAUUAUAAAUUGGGAGUAGAUUGUUUUAUAAUAAGAUUUUCUUAGAUUAAUCAUAACAUAAGCUUAUAAAUAUAAAUGUUUCUCAAUCUUUAUAAUUAUUUAUAGUAUAUUACAAAACCAUAUAACUUUUGCAUAAUAAUAAAUGUUUACAUUAAAGUAGGGAAAUAUCUAUAUAUUUUAAAUAUUCUAAAUUCUCCUCGAGUCAUGAAGAUCACAAAAAAAAAAGCUAGAACGCACCACUACUCACCUAAACUCGCCUAAACUGACCCAAGCCAGAUGCCUCUAGAGGAUCUCGCCCAGACAAGAUCACUUUGGGCCUUUUUUCCUGCAACUCGCCCAAACAAGCCCAAUAACGUCCAAGGGUCAAGCCUAACUAGGUUAAAUAUGAGGCACAUCCCUCCACAUCAUUGAGUGGAUUAGAAUCCAAUUGGAAUAAUAGAAGGUCUUAGACAUCCUAGAUGUGGCAGCUGUCAAGGAGAAACAUUAUGAUCUUCUUUUCUUGCUCUCCAUGCUUUUAACAACCAACAUGCGUGACUAAUUCUACCAUUUGGGAUUGAGAGUAAUAUGUUCAAACUUUUAUGUAUUGAGGUGAUAUUUAAAAAAAUAUUUUAUUCUUGAUUGAUAUUUAUCAUUUUGUUUGUAAUGCUUAUUUCUAUGAUCUAGAUCCUUAGAUUUGCCUGAAAAGUACUUCUAAGUUUCUAACCCAAAUGAUAAUGCUUAACAUAUUUGAAUGUUAGAAAUAAAUUUGAAAUGUUAAUUGCGAUCAAUGUCUAAACAUAAUGAAAGAAGUUUUUAUAAAUAUGCGAGAAAUCAAUAUUUAGGAGACUUAAUAAUUUUAUAUGCGAAAAAAUCGAUAUAAAUGAUUUUUAUACGGGCAUCAAUAUAAAUCAAAGGAUAAAAUACUAUCAUGUUAAUCAAAAUACAAAAGAGUAAGAAGGAUGAACCCUUAAUCCUAUUUUUCCAAUUGAACCAACAAACUCUUUGACUUUUUUUUCAUUUUAAUCAUUGCAAUGAUAGCAAACUACAACAAAAUUUAUUAUUUAGUUUUCUAUCUAGUGAAUCUUUUACUUGAUUAUUUAACUGUUCCAUGUGAGUUCGAUAUCUGUCCUUAGGGGCAAAUUAUUACUUAUGACAACAGGAUGCACUUGCCGUAAAGUAGUCAUUAGAUGCUCAAUAUGAAAUGUUCAAAUAUGAACCUUUAAUGCAUCAUAUCACUUUUUUCCCCGUUUUAGUUCGAUAUUUGUAGCAUCCUUUGUAGGCUUCAAUAAUCUUCAACACAAAUCAUGUUCUCUUGCUUCAUGAUUUUCUUAUUAGACGCUUGAUAAGGAAACUUUGACUACCAACUUUAUAUGCACAUUUAUGAGCCCUUCAUAAUUUCUAGAAGCAAUAUAAGCAUGAUUGACCAUUAUAAUCAACACAAUAAAGCACGAGUAUCACUAAAAUAAUAUCUUUAAUAUUCUACGAAUUAUCAACACUUUUUUCUCAAGUAUUUCACUGUAAAUCAAUUUUCAAGUACUUUCCAAAUUAAUAUAAAAUCAUAUUUUCAAGUAUAAUCAUAUUUCCAAAUUUUCAAGUAGUUUCCAUCUGAAGCAUUCAUAUGCUGUGAGACUGUUUGAUGUGUCUCUUUGUAUUUGAACUGUUUACUUAGACAACAUUCUUUAUUUUGAAUGUUCUCUUUAUGUCAUAUGAUCACUUUACAAUUUGUCUAAUGUCAAGACGAAAACUAGAUCAUCUGAUGUGUCUUCAUUAGAGGGAUUAUCUAUUGGAUUUACUCUAUAGACGGUUUGAUAUGUUGAUUCUUUAUAGUAAGAUCAUCUAGUGAGUCUUGCUCAUCUUCUUCAUUGAUAUUGACUUAUAAUUUAGAAUGUCUGGCAUGUAGCACUCCAAGUAUAUCGUUUGUCAUUGACUCUUUAGAGAUUGUCUGAUGAGAUUAAACAAUUUGGAAGGCCUAAUGAGUAUUUAACUAAAUUUAUACAUUUAGUAGGAUUUGUUAGACUUCUUAAGACAUCUUAUAGUGUUUGUUAUCAUCAAGAUAUGUAGACUUUUGUAUUAGAGACCAUCUGAUAGGUGAUAGAUUGUUUAGUGUUGAUUGGACUCUCUAGCGUCUUAAUAUUCAUAACUUGAAAAUAAUAUUGUUUAACCUAAAUUAAGAAAAAGUAUUGCAAAUAUAAAAUGAAAAAAAUAUUAAAUAACUUAGAACAAAGAAUAACAUCAAUCAAGAUCUCCUAAAAAAUAUUAUUAAGAUUGAUAUAUUUUAAUUUUUAAUAAUUAUUUGAUAUUUAAAUAAAUUUUUAAAUUUAGUGGUAAUUAAAAAAAUAUCCAAAUAAAAGAGUUUAAAUUCACUAAAUUUAAAGGAACAAAAAUAUUUAAAAAAUAAAACAAUUUAAAAUUAUAUCAAUUCAAAAUUCAAUGUUAAAGUUUAUAUUAAAUUCCCAAUUGAUUACUCUAAUAAUUUUUCUUGAUGAACGCAAAUCAAGAUUCAUGAUCUUUGGCGUGGGGAAGAAUUUUUUUGAUUGGGAGAAGGACCAACUUAGUCAACUCCUCGAGGCAGUGCACGAUUCGUGCCCUGUCUUGGUAAAGUUGAUAGGUGGGUCUGGAAAGACGACAAGUCUCAAGUGUUUGCUGUUAAUUUGGCAUAUAGGAAGCUUAGAGGGAGGUCUGAGGAGGUGUGGUCGAGGAUAUUUUGUUGGUUCUGGAAGAUUAAGGCCUUGCCUUCUGCUCACGUUACCGUUUGGAGGGUGUUGAAAAAUAAGAUUGCCACUACGGCAAAUUUACUUAGACGCGAGAUUGCGAUCGAAAGAGUUCUUUGUUGUUUAUGUGGGGUAAAAGAGGAAGAUACUAAUCAUCUAUUUUUUUUUUAUUGUAGAAUAACCUGGUUGGUGUGGAACCUUUGUUUUAAGUGGUUAGACAUUUUGUCGAUUACCCCCAUGGUUCUUACUCUCAUUUUUUGUAGUUCAGGAUGUGUAAUGUUUCUGAGUCGAUCAAUUUAGGGAUGAGGAGUAUUUGGGUUGCGGUGGUUAGUGAGAUUUGGAGUCACAGGAACAAGAUUUUAUUCAAAGGUGGAGUGUUGGACUAUUCUGAGAUCUUUUCUUUGGCUCAAUUGAAGGUUUGGUCUUGGAUUACUUCUAAAUUCCCCUCUGCUGUUUCUCUUAUUCUAAUUGAUGCUUUGUUCCUCUGGAUUGCCUUGUUUCGCUUUAGCUGUUGUGUGGUUGUUGUUUUUGGCAGGGCUAGUUUUGAAUUGUUAGUAGGAAGGUGUGUGAUGUAAGGAUGUAUCCGAUUUUUUUAUACGGGUUGACUCAUCCCCAAAGUGAUUCUUAGAUAUAUAUUGCUUAUUGUUGAUAAAAAAAAAUCAUAAUCUAACUAUUAAAAUAUCAAAUAAGAUUUAGCAUGAUUAUAUAAUAAUUGUAAUUUUUUAAAGUAUUAUGUAAAGAUUUUACGUUAUUAAUUAUACCUUUAUUAAUAUAAUUUAUUUUAUUAUUUUACUCUUUAUAUUUUAUAAUUAUUUUUUAUGAACAUAGUUUUUUAUAAAAUUUAAUAAAAAAAUAUUUUAAUCAUUAAUAUAAUAGUUAUAUUUUUAUCUUUUAUUAUAAUAAUAAAAAUGUGACACAUCUAGUAUACUUAAAUUGGUAUUGAUAGCAUCACGAGUAAAUAUAAUGUGAGAAAAUAUAUUAUACAUUAACAAUACAGUUUUACUCGGUGACAAAAGUUCUAUGAUUUUUUUUAUUGAUUAAUAGUGUAGAAUUUUUUGCUUUGACAACUUAAUAUCCAUUUAACUCUAAUAGUUGAUAGAAAAGGAAAUAAAAGUAAAACAAUUUUUUCACAAAAUUCAUCAUGACAACUUAAUAAAUCACUGUCCACGUUGGCAUUUCUAUGAAAACAGCAUACGCAACAACUCUGAAAGAAUCUCCAAAUCAUAAAUGAUUGUCCAGGUAUCUUCAUGAGUCACUAAUGAAAUCCUUGAUUUGAAAGCAUGCCAAAUAUUAUAAAUUGUCUCUUUCAAGGAAUAAACUAAGCGUGAACAAUCCAACAUUGUUUGGAAUGGUUCAAAGAAUGACGUGAAAGUUUUGAGCUGCAAUUCCUUCCUUCAUAUCAUACUAAAACUGCAAAUUCAUCUCAUCAUUUACCUUCCCUCUCAUAUCAACUAUAUAACUAUACUUCCUUCUUGCAUCAUCUAUCAUCUUCCAUCAAAUUUUCUACUUAUGCACACUUUUUCUUUUGUUCACAUCAUUCUAAAGAGUCUACCAUCAUUUUCAUAACAUAUUUGCUUUUGCAAUUAUUAUUUUCUAUUUCUUUUCUUUCUGUCUUUUCCUUUAAAGGUAAGUGUGAGUAUAUACAUACACACAAAAAUGAAUUUGUGUAGUAUAAAAAUUGGGUGAUGUUGUACUAUUUGUUUGUUUGCAGUAAAAUGUCGAUUCGAACAAACAAGAUGAAAGCAAUAUCUGUGUUGCUAAAGGAGUUGAUGACAGCAAGGAGCAAAUUCCAAAGGAAAAGAGAUGCAUCAUUUGAUGGGAAGUUGGAGAAGUUAAGGUUGGAUCUGAACAAGAUAAAGGAUGUAUUUGUGAGAGUGAAGAAGAAUGAAGAAGAACUGAUUGAUACAUUAGCAGAGGUGCAUGCCCAUCUUCGCAAGUUAGACCGCAAGAAGUUGGAUGAAGACAUGGAUUUCAUUUGCAAGAGAAUCAGAGAUUCUGCUCACAAGUUGCUCCCAAUGGAUGCUUUUGAUGAUUCAUAUAAGGAGGAGGAUCACAAGGGCAACCAGAUAUUUCACUCAUCACAAGAGUUGCAACAACCCCAUCAGAAGAUUUGGAGUCUGGAAGAUUAUCUCCGGCUGGACCAUCUAUCCAAAGGUUGCUUGUUCUCUCUCCUAAUUUUCCCUGACAACACUGUCAUAAGGAAAAGUAAUGCAAUUAAUUUAUGGAUUGGAGAGGGUUUGAUUGUAGAUAAAGAGAACAAAACAACAAAGGAAUGGGGUGAGGAUGUGAUUGAUAAUCUUUUGAAAUGUAGGGUGAUUGUACGCUAUGGUAACGAAAAGUGUCCCCUUAUCAAGAAAUUUCGAAUUCUUCCCAACAUCCGUCGUCACUUGAAAUCAUAUACAAAUGAAUAUGUAGACCGACUUGAAUAUAAUUUGGAAAAAUCUCGUUUUCAAAAAACUAGACUAAAUCGGUUAAAGCUUGAGCAAAAUAGAGUGAUACUAGGUGAUUGGCAUUUUGAUUAUUCUAUACAUACUAUUUUCAAUGUUGGUGCAAGUUAUCUGAAUUUUAGACCACAAUGGGUCAAACAAUUUCCAAAUUUAAAGGUGCUUCAACUUGGGUGUUGGCAAGAUUCACCUUUGCAUCACAUUGAAGUUGGGAGUGAAGAAUUCUUGAAAGAGUUGAGAAAUCUAACACACUUGAAAUAUCUUAGUCUCCGUGGGAUAUCUAAUAUAUUCGAGCUUCCAUCCUCCAUUGUUGAACUUGAGAGACUACUAGUUCUUGAUCUGAAAGCUUGCCAUAAUUUGGAAACACUACCUAAUGAUAUUUCAUCAAUGAAAAGUCUCACACAUCUGAUUUUGUCCCAAUGUUGCCUUUUGGAGGAAAUGCCAAAGGGGAUCGAGAAGCUAACUAAUCUCCAAGUACUAAAGGGAUUUGUAAUAAGUACUCCUCGAAAGACUCCUUGCAGAAUAUCAGAUCUUGUAAAUUUGAAAAAAUUGAGGCAACUCAGCAUACAUAUAGGAAGUGAGGCUGUGAUCAGGGAUAGGGAGUUUGAAAGUUUGGAAGGGUUUUUAGCACUCAAGUGUCUCAAGAUAUCUUGGAGUGGGUCUGACCCAAGGUAUGGUAAUAUUUUUUUCAUUUUGCCACCAAAUUUGACGAAGUUGCAUCUUGAAUGUUUUCCUGGAAAGAUUUUUCGAGAAUGCAUGUUUGACACGAGGCUUUUGGAGCAACAAAUGGAGCUAAAUAUAACUGGAGGAAAAUUGGAAAGUAUGGAAGCAGAUAUUCAAUGGGAGUUCGUGGACAUAUUGCGUCUCAAGUACCUUAAACCCAAACCCUAAACCCUAAACCCAAGACUAUAGUCUCAGCGCGUCACAUAUUUAGACCAAUAACACUGUGUGCGUCACGUCAUCAACCGUUAAUGUCAUUGGUGGAAACUUAUGUAAAUGACCAAAUUGAAGCUUUAGAAAAAAAACCUUGGCACCAAAUUGAUUUUUUUAAAAACUGUUCUCGAACGGGUUUGGGGACCUGGAGAACGAUCGCUCCUGCUGACGUGUCCGGUCAGCUUCACGCUCUUGAUGCUCCUUGAUGCGUUCGCCUUCCAGGUCGUCCAACUCCUCAGGCGGGUGGGGUACCUGCAGAAAGCACUCCAACGCUCAAGUCAGUGGGGUAUCGACACUCGGUAGUCAGAGUACUUUAGAUCAUGACGUACCUUUCUCCUUGAAAUGCAUGAUAUUUAUAUUACCUUGAUGGACAUUCGCUGUUGGGCUAGGUUAGGGGUUGUUUUACGAUUAGGGUUGUGUUAGGUCACCCUUAACCAUGGAUUAGUCUCGCUAAUCCGGUCAACCUUUGGCUUGAGCGUUAUGUGUCGGUUGGCCACGUGUGCGACAUGAUCGACUCUAUCGUUUGGGUCACAGUUUGGUCCUCGAGCUGGCCGAGUUGGUGACUCGGCCGGUCGUACCAGUACAGUUGCCCCCCAGGCCCGAGAGGUGGUACAGUCGAAGAGUCUGAAAAGUGGGACUCGGGCGGUUUGUGUAAUGAUGGGUGAAGUAAGAGUAAGCGGUGUCUGAGCGAGUCAUUGGCACGCAUUUAUGAGGGGUUUUUUGGGCGCCAAGCGAUGUGGAUCAUUGGAUCAAGCAAAUCCAACGGCUGAGAUCUUGUGACGUUUGGGUUUCCGAGACACCUUCGGGCUAUAAAUAGGGGCUGGGAAUAGUUGCCUCUUACAAUUUUAAUAUUGAUUGAGCUCCGAUACUUGAACAAAUCCGAGCGACCUUAGUCACUUUCCUCGUUCGUCCCAAGGUUAGUUAUGUCUACUCAUUCGCGUCCGACUUCUUCUUCUACCUCCGCUCGGUCUCCUCUUCCUGAACCUCCCUCUUGUUCAUCGUCUUCUCCGUCUUCUUCUUCCUCUUCUUCUUCUUCCUCAUCUAAUAAGGUUAUCUCGGUCGGGGCGGUUGGGGACGUUGCCCCUCCGAUUGAGAAGGUGACGGGUGACGACGCUGGUAAUGCGUUGGACAGGUCGGCCUCAUGUGAGCGACCAUGUCCUCACGUGGGGCUUGCUUGGGUUGACCCCAAGGUGUGCGAGGUGGCGUCCAUUUUUCGUACGAACGCCUCAGUGGCCGAAAUUUUGAACAAUGUUCCUGUCCUGGAGGUCUCCGCUGAGUAGUCUCUAUUGGCCUUCGGUCCUUGUUCCUUGGUGGACCGUGUGUAUAGGGAGCGAUCAUCUACCGAACCCCCUUCUUUUUUAUGUAUAGUUUUCUUUUUUUGGACCUCCAAGUGUCCCUUCCUUUUGAUGCUUUCACGGCCGGUGUCCUUCGGGAACUUAACGUGGCCCCGAUCUAGUUGCAUUCCAACACGUGGGCGUCCAUGCAAACUUUUCACGUGGUGUGUCGAAUGUUUGGGGUGCGUCCUCUCCCUUCUUGCUUUUUGCAUUUCUAUGUGUCCCAUCCGGCCUAGUUGGUCUUUGUUCAAAUAUAAUAUUAUCUUUUCUACUUGUUCUUUAUAUUUUCGUUUCAUGUUUAUUGCUAGAUUCUAUUUGAUCAAUGAAGUCUUGAUUUUGAUCCUGAAAUUUAACUGAAAAGUAUUUUUAAGGAUUUGAAAUAGACGAAAAUACUUGAUAACUUAUAAUGCUAGGAAUAGAUUUCAGGUUAUUGGUUGCAUCAUAAUUCUGUUCAUAAAGCUGGAUGAUUUGUUAGAUAUCUGAGGAAUCAGUGUUUAAGAAAUUAUCUUAUAAAUCUCAUCUGUGAGGAAUAAGGUGAAUGACUUUAAAUUACAGCAUCAAGAAUAAGUAGUUUUGAGUAUUAUAUAUUGUAUUAUUCCAAAAUAUAGAUGACAUAGGUAGAAGCAAUUCAACCCCAAGUACUUUUAUCUAUAUUUGAUAAGUUAUCUUGGUUACUUAUUGAAUCAAAUCUUGAACUUUGAGUUACUUGUGAAAUCUUUAAUUUUAUUAUGAACCAGUUUUCACAAUUAUUUUCUAUACUUGAUUAGUUUUAUAACAAAAUUUCUUAAUUAGAAUUAUUCCUUGUGGGUUCGACAUUCAUACUUUAAAGAGUACUAUAUUACAGUUGAUUCGGUACACUUGUCGAGGAAAGUCAACACAAAUAUAUUUACUAAGUCUAUUAGGAAAGAUCAGUUCAUGACUUUGCGAAACAAUGAUAUUUACUCACCAACUUGAGGGACAGUAUUAAAAUGAUUAUAUAUGUAUAUAGAAAAUAUAUCAAUGUAUAACAUACGUAUUAAAAAUAAAACAAUAAUUUAGUGUAAUUACUUAUAGAUAAGUAUAACAUAUGGAACAUAUCUCUCCAAUCAAAUUGGAUUGUAUAUAAAGAGUAUAAUUUUUUUUUAUAAUAUUUAAUAUUCUAGUCAUGUUAGUCUAAAAUAGAAGUCCCCAGUAAUUGAUUAUUUUUUUUAUAAAAUAAUGUAUAAAUUGAUAAAAUAUAUUUUUAAAGUAGAUCAAUGAAAUAUAACUUUUCCAUUUAGUUUGAUAAUUUCAAAGAAUGUCAAACGUUUAUUUUUGAUUCAUGGUUAGCUUCUGUCUUUUAAUAUAGCUGCCCUAAUGUAAUUUUAAAGGUGUCAUUGUUUUGAAAAUAUCUUAAUUUUUUUUUCUUUUAAAUUGAUAUCUAUAAGUAUUAAUAAAAGAGAUUUUUUUUAUAACUAUUAUGUAACGAUUUUACGUUACUAAUUAUACCUUUAUUAAUAUAAUUUAUUUUAUUAUUUUACUCUUUAUAUUUUAUAAUUAUUUUUAUGAACAUAACUUUUAUAAAAUUUAAUAAAAAAAUAAUUCAAUCAUUAUUAUAAAAUUUAUAUUUUUAUCUUUUAUUAUUAUAAUAAAAAUGCGACACAUCUAGUAUACUUAAAUUGGCAUUGAUUAUAAUUAAAAUUGAUAGCAUAACGAGUAAAUAUAAUGUGAGAAAAUAUAUUAUACAUUAACAAUUAACAAUACAGUUUACUCGGAGACAAAAGUUCUAUGAUUUUUUUUUUAUUGAUUAAUAGUGUAGAAUUUUUUGCAUUGACAACUUAAUAUCCAUUAAACUCUAAUAUUUGAUAGAAAAGAAAACAAAGGUAAAACAAAUAUUUCACAAAAUUCAUCAUGACAAAUUAAUAAAUCACUGUCUACGUUGGCAUUUCUAUGAAAACAGCAUACCCAACAACUCUGAAAAGAAUAUAGAAAUCAGAAAUGAUUGGCCAAGUAUCUUCAUGACUCACUAAUGAAAUCCUUCAUUUGAAAGCAUAGCAAAUAUUAUAAAUUGUCUCUUUCAAGGAAUAAAUUUGGAAUAGUUCAAAGAAUGACGUGAAAGUUUUGUGCUGCAAUUCCUUCCUUCAUAUCAACUAUAACUAUAUUUCCUUCAUGCAUCAUCUAUCAUCUUCCAUCAACUUUUCUUCUUAUGCACACUUUUUCUUUUCUUCACAUAAUUCUAAAGAGUCUACCAUCAUUUCCAUAACAUAUUCGCUAUUACAAUUAUUAUUUUCUAUUUCUUAUUUUCUUUUCUGUCUUUGACUUUAAAGGUAGGUGUGAGUGUAUACAUACAUACACAAAAAAAACUUUAUGUAGUACAAAAAAUUGGGUGACAUUGUAUGUAUUUGUUUGUUUGCAGUAAAAUGUCGAUUCGAACCAAUAAGAUGAAAGCAGUACCUGUGUUGCUGAAGCAGUUGAUGACAACAAGGAGCAAAUUCAAUGAAAGGGGAAGAGAUGAAUCAUUUGAUGGGAAGUUGGAGAUGUUGAGGUUGGAUCUGAACAAGAUAAAGGAUGUAUUUGUGAGAGUGAAGAAGAAUGAAGAAGAACUGCUUGACAUAUUAGCGGAGGUGCAUGCCCAUCUUUGCAAGUUAGACUGCAGAAAGCUUGGUGAAGACAUGAAUGGCAUUUGCAAGAGAAUCAGAGAUUCUGCUCACAAGUUGCUCCCAAUGGAUGCUUUUGAUGACUCAUCUAAGGAGGAGGAUCACAAGGGUGGCCAAUCACAACAGUUGCAGCAACCCCAUCAGAAGAGUUGGACUCGGGUAGAUUAUGAAGGGUUAAAAAAUGUACCAAAAGAAUGCUUGUCAUCUCUCCUAAUUUUCCCUGAGAACGCUGUCAUAAGGAAAAGUAAUGCAAUUAAUUUGUGGAUUGGAGAGGGUUUGGUUAUAGAUAUAGAGAACAGAACAGCAAGGGAAUGGGGUGAGCAUGUGAUUCAUGAUCUUUUGAAAUAUAAUGUGAUUGUACGCUAUGGUAAAGGAAAGGAUCCUCUUAUCAAUAAAUUUCAAAUUCCUCCUAGCGCCUAUGGCCAGUUGGAAUCACUUGUAUCAAAAGAAAAUGUAGAGGAUCCUGGACAAGAUCGGUUAGAGCUUGCGCAAAAAAAAGUGACACUAGGUGAUUUGCAUUUCGGUUACUCUAUACGUACUGUUUUCAAUGUUGGUGCAAGUUAUCUGAAUUUUAGACCAUAAUGGAUCAAGGAAUUUAUGAAUUUAGAGGUGCUUCAACUUGGGCGUUGGAAAGAUUCACCUGUACAUCACAUUGAGGUUGGAAGUGAAGAUUUUUUAGAAGAGUUGAGAAAUCUAACGCAGUUGAAAUAUCUUAGUCUCCGGGGGAUAUCAAGAAUAUUCAAGCUUCCAUCCUCCAUUGUUGAACUUGAGAGGCUACUAGUUCUUGAUCUCAAAGCUUGCCACAAUUUGGAAACACUACCUAAUGAUAUUUCAUCAAUGAAAAGUCUCACACAUCUGAUUUUGUCUCAGUGUUACCUUCUGGAGGGCAUGCCGAAUGGGAUCGAGAAGCUAAAAAAUCUCCAAGUACUAAAGGGAUUUGUAAUAAGUACUCCUGAAAAGACUCCUUGCAGAAUAUCAGAUUUUGUAAAUUUGAAAAAAUUAACUCGACUCAGCAUACAUAUAGGAAGCCAGGCAGUGAUCAAAGAUAAGGACUUUGAAAGUUUGAGCCAAAUUUUUACACUUGAUCAUCUCAAAAUAUCUUGGAGUGGGUCUGACCCAAGGUAUGGUAAUUUUCAGCUCUCUUUGCCACAAAAUUUGAGAAAGUUGCAUUUAGAAUGUUUUCCUGGAAAGAGUUUUCGAGAAUUCUUGUAUGACAUGAGGUAUUUGUGGAAAAACAUGGAGCUAAAGAUAACUGGAGGAAAACUGGCAAGUAUGGAAGUAGAUUUUGAAUGGUGGCACGUGAACAUACUGCGUCUCAAGUAUCUUAAGCACUUGAAAGUCGAUAUAGACGAUUUGAAAUCAUUCUUUCCUGGACUGAAAUAUGCAGAAAUUAAACAAGUCUCAGAACACAUUGAGCAUGAAUGGACUUAAUAUGAAUUAUAUAUUGUAAGAGUAUGCGUGUAACAGUCAGCAAAAGUUAGAAAAUAAGGAAAAAAUAAAUAAGAUGUGUCUUUAUUACUUAACUUGUUAUGUCCCAAUUAAGUUCUAUGAAUAAUAUGUUUUACAUUGUCUUGUUUGCCAAAAAUAACAACUACAACUGUUUGGAAAUGCUAAUAACUCAAAUUCAAUUCUAAACACAUGUAAACUUUAGAGGUGAAUUUUGAACACAUACUUGUCCUUGCAACAUAAAUAAUUAGUAACGACUAAAUAGAUAAAAUGGAUUUGACGUUUAGGGACGGACAAGGUGGCUUGUGGAAGGAUAUUCUUGAGUCCAAAUACGGAGGUUGGAAAAGACUGAGAGAUCAAAGGAAUAAUGUUAAGGAGUCUCUUUGGUGAAAAAACUUGAAGGAGGUUUGUUGUGUUGGAAAGUUGGGGAAGGAGUUUUGAAGAUCGUUUCAAGUGGAAGAUUGGUAACGGGACGAAAAUCAGGUUUUGGGAUGAUAAUUAGGUGGGUUGUGAUCUUUUAAAGAGGGUUUUUUCGAGGCUGAGUACUUUGAGCACUCAUUCCGAGCCUAAGUUAGUCGUGUAUGGGAUUUAGGUUGAUGGUAUUUGGGAGUGAAAUUUAGCUUGGAGAAGGAACCUAUUUGAGUGGGAAAAGGUUUCAGAUAGUCAACUUCUUUUGAAGCUCCAAGGUUUGAGGAUGGAGUGGGAUUUGGAUGACAAAUGGGUCUGGAAGGAUGGCAAGUCUUCUUCUUACUCGGUUAAUUUUGCUUAUGCUUUCUUAAGGGAUGAGAUAAAAGGGGGAGAACAAUUCCAUGUAUGUAAAGUUUUGGAGGACUAAAGCUUUGCCACCCGCCCAUAUAACUGUUUGGAGGGUGUUAAUUAGAAAAUAAGCUAGCCACCAAGAAUAAUUUGGUGAGGAGAGGUGUAGUGACUGAGAACAAUAUUUGUGUUUUGUGCGGGAUGGAAGAGGAGUCUUGCAGUCAUCUGUUCUUCAAGUGCAGGUUAACUUGGCUUGUCUGGAGUCAGUGCUAUGCUUGGUUAGGUUUGGCGUCCGUGGACCAUUCUGAUCUACGUGUUCAUUUUCAACAGUUUAUGAUGUAUAACACACCCAAAUCCGUUAAUGCAGUGUGGGGGACAAUUUGGAACGUUGUAGUAAGUGAAAUUUGGAUUCUAAAAAAUAAGAUAAUCUUUAAAGGAGGGGUGGUGAAUGGUUCAUAAGUGUUUUCUCUUAUUCAAUUAAAGGCUUGGUCGUGAGUCGUCUCCAAGGUACCAUUAGCUUGUUUUUCUUACUUUGACUGGUGUCUUGAUCCUCUGGUAUGCGUGAAUAUGAUUUAGUGUUGAUUUUGUGUGUUGGAUUUAUCCUAUCUGUUUGACUGGAUGUUGGUUUAGAUCUUUGUUUUGUGCUUAGGGGAUGAUUAUAGUUCUGUAUAAGGGUUGAACCACCCUUGAAGUGGUUCUUAUCUAUUUAAUCUUUAUUGUUGAUAAAUUUUUUUAGAGAAACAAACAGUCACUACAAGAAAAUCAUGAAAUAAAAACUAAUUUUAGAGACAAAAAAUAAUUAGUUGCUAUAGUGACUAAAUUAUAGACCAUUUUAGAAACUAAAAAAAUGUUUGAUUUCUAAAUUAGUUUAUAUUAUUGUUAAAUAGUUUCUAAAUUAAAUCACAAUAGGGACCAUCUUCCGUCCAUCUUUCAUCUUUCUGUCACUCACUUCCGCACUCAACAUACCAAAUCUUUUACCAAACAAAAACCCUUAAAAAAUGUACCAAAUAAAAAUAGUUAUUUGCGGCUUCCAAAAAAUAUGAUGUUAUUACAGAAAAGGGAGUUGAGUUUGAAAGUGUGAUUGGAUUGAGGGUGAGUAUCUGAUGUUGCAUGUAAAUGAGUUCAUUAAUUGUGAGCUCAAGAUGGCCCGUAUUGUCAUUUAUGUUCAAAUAGGAUUUUAUGUCAUUUCUCUUCUUAAAAUAAAACAACUGUACCUUUUCCAUCAACAUGUCCUUCUCCACGUUGCAAUUUCUAUGAAAAGAAUCUCGAAAUCAUAAAUCAUUGCCCAAGUAUCUUCAUGAGUCACUAAUGAAAUCCUUGAUUUGAAGGAAAUUGUCUCUUCCAAGGAAAUAAACUAAGAAUGAAGAAUCCAAGUUUGUUUGGAAUGGUUCAAAGAAUGACGUGAAACUUUUGUGCUGCAAUUCCUUCCUUCAUGUCGUACUAAAAUUGCAAAUUCAUCUCAUCAUUCACUUUCCUUCCAUAUCAACUAUAACUAUACUUCCUUCAUGCAUCAUCUGUCAUCUUCCAUCAACUUUUCUACUUAUGCACACUUUUUCUUUUGCAUCAUUUCCAUAACUAUUUGCUAUUGCAUUUAUUAUUUUGUAUUUCUUAAUUCUUUUUCCUGUCUUUGACUAUAAAGGUAGGUGUGAGUGAUAUACACAAAAAAAAAACAGUUUGUUAAAUUUGCAGUAAGAUGUCAAUUCGAACAAAUAAGAUGAAAGCAGUACCUGUGUUGUUGAAGCAGUUGAUGACAAUAAGGAGCAAAUUCCACGAAAGGGGAAAAGAUGAAUCAUUUGAUGAGAAGUUGGAGAAGUUGAGGUUGGAUGUAAACAAGAUAAAGGAUGUAUUUGUGAGAGUGAAGAAGAAUGAAGAAGAACUGCUUGACAUAUCAGCAGAGGUGUAUGACCAUCUUCGCAAGUUAGACCGCAGGAAGCUGGAUGAAGACAUGGACGACAUUUGCAAGAGAAUCAAAGAUUCUGCUCACAAGUUGGUUCCAAUGGAUGCUUUUGACGACUCAUCUAAGGAGGAGGAUCACAAGGGUGGCCAAAUAUUUCACUCAUCACAACCGUUGCAACAACCCAAUCAGAAGAGUUGGAUUUGGGUAGAUUAUGACCGGCUAGACCGUCUACCAAAAGAUUGCUUGUCAUCUCUCCUAAUUUUUCCUGAGAAUGCUGUCAUAAGGAAAAGUAAUGCAAUUAAUUUGUGGAUUGGAGAGGGUUUGGUUGUAGAUAUAGAGAACAAAACAGCAAAGGAAUGUAAGCUAUGGUAAUGGGAAGGAUCCCCUUAUCAAUAAAUUUCGAAUUCUUCCUAACGUCCGUCAUAAGUUGGAAUUGUAUGUUAGAGAAAAAAAUGUAGACCAUCCUGGAUAUGCAUCUCUUUUUCGGAAAACUGGAAUAAAACGGUUUGUGCUUAAGCAAAAAAAGCUGACACUAGGUGAUUGGGAUUUUGGUUACUUUACACAUACUAUUUUCAAUGUUGGUGCAAGUUAUUUGAAUUUUAGACCACAAUGGGUCAAGGAAUUUCCAAAUUUAGAGGUGCUUCAACUUGGGCGUUGGCAAGAUUCACCUUUGCAUCACAUUGAAGUUGUGAGUGAAGAAUUCUUGAAAGAGUUGAGUAAUCUAACACAGUUGAAAUAUCUUAGCCUCCGUGGAAUAUCAAGAAUAUUUGAGCUUCCAUCCUCCAUUGCUCAACUUGAAAGACUAUUAGUUCUUGAUCUGAAAGCUUGCCAUAAUUUGGAAACACUACCAAAUGAUAUUUCAUCGAUGAAAAGUCUCACACAUUUGAUUUUGUCCCAAUGUUGCUUACUAGAGGAAAUGCCAAAGGGGAUCGAGAAGCUUACUAAUCUGGAAGUACUAAAGGGAUUUGUAAUAAGUACUCCUGGAAAGACUCCUUGCAGAAUAUCAGACCUUGUAAAUUUGAAAAAACUGAGGCAACUCAGCAUACAUAUAGGAAGUGGGGUCGUGAUGAGCAAUAUGGAUUUUAAAAGUUUGGGAGAUAUUUUUACACUUGAGCAUCUCAAAAUAUCUUGGAGUGUUUCUGACACAAGGUAUGGUAAUAUUCAAGUCAUUUUUCCACUACAUUUGAGAAAGUUGCAUCUAGAAUGUUUUCCUGGAAAGAGUUUUCGAGAAUGCUGGUUUGACACGAGCAAUUUGCUGCAACACAUAGAACUAAAUAUAACUGGAAAGUAUGGAAGUUAAUUUUGAAUGGGGGAUCGUGAACAUAUUGCGUCUCAAGUACCUUAAGCAAUUGAAUGUCCACAUAAACGAUUUGAAAUCAUUGUUUCCAGAACUAAAAUAUGCAGAAAUUAAAGAAAUCUCGAACCAUUCAUAUACUGAGCAUGAAUGGAACUUCUAAUAUGAAUUUGAUUACAAAGGUGAAGUUAAUUUCAUGUUGUAAAAUGUUUCGUAUACUUAUUUUGUUCUCUAAAAAUGUUGUGUACACUUAAAUAAAUAUGAUAUAUCUCUGUUACUAAACUUUUUAUAUUCCAAUUAAUGUUAUGCAUAAUGUGUUCUCUAUUGUCUCCUUAGCCAAAAUAACAAUUACAGCAAUAUGCCAAGAAUUCAAAUUCAAUUCUAAGCAUCUAAACUUUAGAGCUAAAUUUUGAACACAUUUUUCCCCAACAUAAAUAAUAAGUCAAUAAUGACUAAAUAAAUAUUAAUGUUUUUAAAGAAAUUAUUUAUAAAAACAAAAAAUACUAUCAUCAUCUUAAAAUUAAUUUUUAAGUUUAAUUUAUUCUCAUAGGAUUUGUCUGCUUUAUUUAUAUAAUAUAGUUUAAUUAUAUUUGUAAUCAAAGAUAAAUCUUGAACAUUAUGAUUUCACUAAAUUUGUUGUUGUAAAGGCUGCAAUUGAUUUAUCCACCAAAAUUAGUCACAAGUAGACGUAAAAGAUGUAGAUCUGUGCAGUUCAGGAAAGAAGAAUAAGAAAGCUUUUGUCUUCAGUUUUCCCAAUUGCAAUCUUUUGUGCAAGACCUCUUUGUUCUUAAGUAGUAUUGAUUCAAAGAGAAGUUAAGAAUUUAUACUUUUGAUGCAUUUACCAAUAUUGCAGGAUUGUUGACAACAAUUUACUUGAAUAACAAUUGUGGCAGAUUAAUAUAAUCACCAUGAAGAUCACUUCUGACACAAAUUUCAAGAGUAAUUGAACUUUUCCAAAGAAUAUACAACCUCAUCAAUAACUAAUAAUGUUCUUACUAUUUUUAUAGAAAGAUAUAAUCUAAUCAAUUAAAAAAAUAAUCAAAUUUGAUAAAAAAAAAUGAAAAUCAACCAAAACUGAAUUUUUAAAUAUCAAACUUCGAUCAAAAAAAUUAAAAACCAUUUAAAAAAAUUAUUUUUACAGUUAAGUUUUAUUUUUUUCCGAAACCAAACAAUUUUGCUCGAAUUUGAAAUUAGCAUACUCAACAACUCUGAAAAUAAUCUCCAAAUCAUAAAUCAUUGCGCAAGUAUCUUCAUGAGUCACUAAUGAAAUCCUUAUUUGAAAGCAUAGCAAAUAUUAUAAAUUGUCUCUUUCAAGGAAUAAACUAAGCGUGAAGAAUCCAACAUUGUUUGGAAUGGUUCAAAGAAUGACGUGAAAGUUUUGUGAUGCAAUUCCUUCCUUCAUAUCAUACUAAAACUAUAUCAUUUACCUUCCCUCCAUAUCAACUAUAUCUAUACUUUCUUCAUGCAUCAUCUAUCAUCUUCCAUCAACUUUUCUACUUAUGGACACCUUUUCUUUUCUUCACAUCAUUCUAAAGAGUCUACCAUCAUUUCCAUAACAUAUUAGCUAUUGCAAUUAUUAUUUUCUAUUUCUUCUUUUCUUUCCUUCUUUGCCUCUAAAGGUAGGUGUGAGUGCAUACAUGCACACAAAAAUGAAUUUAUAUAGUAUAAAAAUUGGGUGACGUUGUAUUAUUUAUUUGUUUGCAGUAAAAUGUCGAUUCGAACAAACAAGAUGAAAGCAAUACAUGUUUUGCUGAAGCAGUUGAUAACUGCAAGGAGCAAAUUCCAUGAAAGGGGAAGAGAUGAAUCAUUUGAUGCGAAGUUGAGGUUGGAUCUGAACAAGAUAGAGGAUGUAUUUGUGAGAGUGAAGAAGAAUUGCUUGACACACUAGCAGAGGUGUAUGAUCAUCUUCGCAAGUUAGACCGCAGGAAGCUGGAUGAAGACAUGGAUGACAUUUGUAAGAGAAUCAGAGAUUCUGCUCACAAGUUGCUCCCAAUGGAUGGUUUUGUUGACUCAUCUAAGGAGGAGAAUCACAACGGUGGGCAAAAAUUUCACUCAUCACAACAGUUGCAGCAACCCCUUCAAAAGAAAUGGACUUGGACUGAUUAUCAUCGGCUAGACUCUCUACCAAAAGAUAUCAUGAAGACUCUCCUAAUCUUCCCUGAGAAUGCUGUCAUAAGGAAGAGAAAUUUAAUUAAUUUGUGGAUUGGAGAGGGUGUCGUUGAAGGUACAGAGAACAAAAUAGCAGAGAAAUUGGGUGAGGAUUUGAUUGAUGAGCUUUUGUGUUCGAAAGUGAUUCUACGCUAUGGUAAUGGAAAGGGUCCCUCUAUCAAUAAAUUUGGAAUUCUUCCUGACUUCCGUCGUCAGAUGGAAUUGUUUGUAACAAGAAAAGACGUACACCAUGAUGGAUAUAUUUUCCGAGUAUCUCCUUUUAGGAAUACUAGACUGAAUUGGUUAAAGCUUGAGCAAAAAGAAGUGACACUAGGUGAUUGGUAUUUUGAUUAUCUAUACAUAUUAUUUUCAAUGUUGGAGCAAGUUAUCUGAAUUAUAGACCACAAUGGGUUAAGAAAUUUAUGAAUUUAGAGGUGCUUCAACUUGGGCGUUGGCAAGAUUCACCUUUGCAUCACAUUGAAGUUGGGAGUGAAGAAUUCUUGAAAGAGUUGAGAUAUCUAACGCAGUUGAAAUAUCUUAGUCUCCGUGGGAUAUCUAGAAUAUUCCAGCUUCCAUCCUCCAUUGUUAAACUUGAGAAACUACUAAUUCUUGAUCUGAAAGCUUGCCAUAAUUUGGAAACACUACCUAAUGAUAUUUCAUUAAUGAAAAGUCUCACACAUUUGAUUUUGUCCCAGUGUUUCCUUCUAGAGGGUAUGCAAAGGGGAUCGAGAAGCUCACUAAUCUCCAAGUACUCAAGGGAUUUGUAAUAAAUACUCCUGAAAAGACUUCUUGCAGAAUACCACAUCUUGUAUAUUUGAAAAAACUGAGGAAACUUAGCAUACAUAUAGGACGUGAGGCCAUGAUCAGGGAUAGGGAGUUUACAACUUUGGAAAUGUUUUUAGCACUGGAGCGUCUCAAAAUAUCUUGGAGUAAUUCUGACCUAAGGUAUGCUAAUAUUCUUAUCGGUUUGCCACCAAAUUUGAUGAAGUUGCAUCUAGAAUGUUUUCCUGGAAAGAGUUUACGAGGAUGCUUGUAUGGCGAGAGGCAUUUAGGGAAAUGCAUGGAGCUAAAUAUAACUGGAGGAAAACUGGAAAGUAUGGAAGUAGAUUUUAAAUCCUAUAACUUGGACAUAUUGCGUCUCAAGUACCUUAAGAAAUUGAAUGUCGACAUAAACUAUUUGAAAUUAUUGUUUCCUAUGCUCAAAUAUGCAGAAAUUAAACAAAUCUCAAACCAUUCAUACACUGAGCAUGAAUGGCCCUUCUAAUAUGAAUCAGAUACUGAUUAAAAAUAAAGGUUAAGUUAAGUUCAUGUAGUAAAAUGUUUUUGUAUACUUAUUUUGUUCUCUAAAAAUGUUGUGUAUACUUAUUUUGUUAUCUGAAUAUGUUAAUCCCAAAUGUCUAUAUUGUUCCUAUAAGAGUGAGCAAAAGUUGAAAAAUAAGGAAAAAAAUAAAUAUGAUUUAUCUUUGUUACUAAACAUUUUACAUUCCAAUUAAGUGUCAUAUAUAACGUGUUCUACAUUGUCUCGUUAGCCAAAACAACAACUACAUGUAGAAACUAAUUGAAGGAAAUAACAUAAGGCAAAAAGUUGUAGAAACUUAUUGAACGUAAUUGCACGAAAUUGCAAAACUGUUGAACUGGUGCUUUCAUUUUGAUUUACUUCAAUAAUAUAUAUAAUAAAAUUACAAUUACUGGAAGCUAUAAAAUAGGAAUACUAACAGUCUUGUAAACUAACCACUAAUGCAAUAUUUACAGUAAAUAAUUUAAGACUAAUAAAAUCUGAAUUAAUAACCAACAUUCUCCCUUAAUUCUGAUUUGGAACAACCUUCAUACCCAACAAAUCUCUUAACUUGAUAAAAGCAUCAAUCUUCAAUGGCUUAGUGAGAAUAUCUGCAAUUUGAUCUUCUGAUCUACAGUAUUCCAAUUUGAUCAUGUUCUUCCCAACUUGGUCUUGCAGGAAGUGAUAUUGUGUUUACUUCUUUGAUGAAAAACUGGAUUCUUUGCAAGAUUAAUUGCAGAGACAUUGUCAACAUAAAUCUUAAUUGGAACAUCUAGAUUAAAAUCAAUUUCAAUCAUGAUAUUGCUGAGCCAAACUGAUUGACAAACACUUGUUGUUGUUGCUACAUACUCAGCUUCACAAGUAGAUAAUGCAACAAUUUACUAUUUCUUUGAUGACCACAAGCAAACAGUCUUUCCGAUCAUAAAAUAAUGACCACUUGUGCUCUUCUUCUCGUCUCAAUCUCCACCCCAAUCAUUGUCUGAGUAUUGUGCUCUUCCUCUCGUCUGAAUCUCCACCCCAAUCACUAAGUAUCCGAUGAUCUCAAUCUUCUUAGAUGAAGAGUAAAAUAGACCAAAAGUUGUAGUACCUUUGAUGUAGUGCAUAAUUCUCUUUACAACUUGUAAAUGAACUUGUCAAGGUGACUCCAUUUAUCGACAGACCAAUCCCACAACAUAACAUAUGUUGGGUCUAGUACAUGUGAGAUAUCUAAGGCUCCCAACAAUCUGCUUAAAGUAUGUUGCAUCUACAGUUCACUCAUCACCUUCCUUCGUAAGUUUAAUUUAGUUUUAAAUGGAGUCUUAACUGAGUUUGAAUCCUCCAUCUUAAACUUCUUUAAGAAGUCAACAACAAAUUUCUUCUAAUGAAUGAAGAUUCCAUCGUCUCUUUGGAUGACUUCAAUGCCCCAAAAGUAGGACAUAAGACUGAGAUCAAUCAUCUCAAAUUCCUUCAUCAUGAUAUGCUUGAAGUCACCAAUUAUUUUGAUAUUACUUCCUGUAAAAAUCACAUCAUCAACAUAAAGAUAUAAAAUUAGCAAAUCUCCAUAAUCAUUAGUCUUUACAUAAAGACCAUGAUCUGAUGCACAUUUUUUUAAUCCAAUGGCAUGAAGAAAUGAAUCAAUCCUUUUGUUUCAAGCUCUUGGUGCCUAUUUAAGACCAUAUAAAGCCUUAGUUAGUCUGUACACCUUCUCCUCUUUUCCAGAUUGUAUGAAACCUGACGUCUGCUUUAGAUAAACCUCUUCAUCAUGUGGGUCGUUUAGAAACAUAGACUUGACAUCCAUUUGUUGAAUUUUCCAUUACCUUUGUGCAACUAAAGCAAUGAUUAAUCUCACUGUUUCCAUUCGAGCUACAUGAUAAAAUAUUUCUUCAUAAUCAUAACCUUCUCUUUGCUCGAAUCCUUUUGCCACCAACCUUGCCUUGUAUCUAUCAAUCUCACCAUUUGCUUUCACUUUAAUCUUGUACACCCACUUCACAUCAAUUGCUUUGUGUCCUUUUGGAAGAUCAGUGAGUUGCAAUGUAUUGUUUUUCUCAAUCGCCAUCAAAUAUUCAUUCAUAGCCUUUUGCCAUUUAGGGUGUUGAAUGACAUCUGCAAGUCUCACGAGUUCUGAAUCUGCAAGAAAAGCAAAGUGAACCAAUUCUCCAUUGUCAUCAAAUUCAUCAUCAAAAUUUACUUCGUAAUCUUGAAGGUGUACAGGUUGUCGUUGUUGCCUUCUUGUUCUCUCCAUCAUAGUUGCAAUUGGAGUUGCAAAUUUAGGUUGAAUUACAACUUCAGGUUGAACUGCAGGUGCUUCAAGAGUGACUUCAUCUUCCACAUCAUCGUUCAAAACGUAAAUAUAUCAUUUUUCGAAUCCAUUUCAGUUGUUGCAUUCCAUUGCAAUUCCUCAUCUUCGACAAAUGUAACAUCAAGACUGACAAUAACCUUCUUUGUCAUUGGAUUGUACAGUUUGUAUCCCCCAUGCUUAUAUCCAAUGAAAAUGGUCUUCACUGCCUUAUCAUCCAACUUUGAUCUUGCUGCCUUGGGAACAUGAGCAUAAGUAAUUGACCCAAAUACCUUCAAGUGUUGCACAUUGGGUUUGAAUCCGCUUCAUGCCUCAAUUGGAAUUGUGUUUGGAACACUCCGAAUGGGUGAUCUGUUCAUCAAAUAUACCGCACAUGUUACAGCCUCAACCCAAAAAUAAUUUGGCAUACCUUUCGUUUUAAGCAUGCUCCUCGCCAUAUUAUGUUAUGCUGCAACCCAAGUUCUUCACAAUGCCUAUUGAACUCAUUAGACUUGUACUCACCCCCUCCUUCAACUCAACAUGAGCCUGAGCCAACUCGGCUCGACUUCGGCCCGGUUUGACUCGAAUCAACAUCAAACAAGACUGACUCGGCUUGACAUCGGCCCAGAAUAUAAGUCUGGUCGACAUGGGCCCGGACAGACGCAAAUCGACCUUGGUCUAGGUCGACUCAGCUCGACAUAGGCCCGGAUCGACUCAGUUCGACAUCGGCCUUGGGGGACCAAGCUUGACAUCGACCCCAGCGAACACAACUCGACAUCGACCCAAGCAAACUCGGUUUGACAUUGGCCUGGGUCAACUCGGCUCGAUAGGGACGCAAGUCGACCUGUCUUGACAUGGGCCUAGGUCGACCAGUCUCGACAUAGGCCUAGGUCGACCUGUCUUGACAUGGGCCUAGGUCAACUUGUCUCGACAUGGGUUUGGGCCAACUCAGCUCAACAUCGUCCCAGGACAACUCGACUCAACAUGGGCCCAGGUCGCCUCGGCUCGACUUCGACCUGGACCGACUCGGCUCGACUUCGACCCAGACCGACUCGGCUCGACAUCAACCAGGACUGAUUCGGCUCGACAUCGGCCCAGACCGAGUCGGAUCGAGAUGGGGUCGGGCUGACUCUGGUCGACAAGGGCCCGGGUCGGCGCAACUCGGCUUCAGUCCAGGUCGACUCGGCUCAACAUGGGCCAGACUGACUCAACUCAACAUCGGCCUGGACGAACUUGGAUCGACAUCGACUCGAGCAAACUCUGCUUGACAUCGGCCUAGGCGAACUUGGGUCGAAAUUGACCUGGGCGGACUUGGCUCGAUAGGGACGCAAGUCGACUUGGCUCGACAUGGGUCGGGGUCGACUCUUCUUAACAUGGGCCUGAACCGAAUCGGGUCGACAUGGGCCUGGGUCGACUUGACGUGACAUUGGGCUGGAGCCGACUUGACUUGGGCUCUGGCCUACUCAGCUCGACUUGGGCUAGGGUUCAUUCGGCUCGAAUUUGGCCUGGGCCGACUCUACUCCACUUUUGCCUAGGUCAACUCGACUUGAGUUUGACUCGGACCGAGUUGGCUCGACUUUGGCCCAGACCGAAUCGGCUCAACUUUGGCCCGGACCGACUCAAGAUGACUUUGCUCGACCUGGGGAUAGAUUGACUCGGCUCAACCUAGGUCGGGGCCAAGUCAAAAUCCAACCCAAAAUUCAUUUUGGAUAAUACAAACAUGUAUUCAAUAUAUAUCUAAUCCAUAUCAAUUAAAUGGAUUGGACUUAAAAUCCAAAAAUCUGGAUUUAGAUUUGAGAUAAAUCUAUUUAAAUGAAUUAAAAGUAAUAUGAACUUGGAUAAUUAUGGAUUGGAUUUGACAAUUUAGAUUUUUUUUCCACCUUUAAGUUUAACUCUUUGUUUUUUUUUUUUAUUUCCCAAAAAUUACCUAUUAAUAUAUAUGAUUAUAAACACUUAGUAAUAUAUAACAAAAAGUAAACUAGUUAAAUGGACCUGAAUAAUGUAAUCAGUCAGAUUUAAGAUUUAUCGUCAAGUAGUUUAAUAAUAUUGUAAUUAUUUCUUAUAUUUUAAUUUAAUCACUACUUUAGUUUUUAUAUUUUCAGAGUAACUAUUAAGAAGUGGACUUUAAGCCUAACUCAACCCCAUAAAACCGGCUCAUGAGGUUGAGGUUUGCACCCACUUAUAUACAAUGAAAGGCUCUAAUCUCUAGUCGAUGUGGGAUCUCCAACAGUAACUCAUCUUACUUUUUGUACAUAAAUCCUAAACAAGUAAUUGCAAACUAGACAAUUUGAUUGUUGUAAUUCCCUCUUUCUUUGUUUCUCUUCUUUCAUUUUUUUACAUUGUAAUUUAUUUUAAUGUAUUUAUCCUUUUAUCGUUUAUAUUUUUACAUUUUCAAGUGUUAUUGGACGAUUCAUGUUUAUAGAAGGUAUAAUAGGUAUAAUAUUUAUUCUGAUUUACUUUUCAGUUAGUUUAAUUCCAAUUCCUCCCUCUUGUUAAUUUGUAAAAGAAAUAUUACAUAUAAUAAGUUAGUUACACAUGAUGUUGUCUUUGAAUUCAACCUACCUAGGUUGACUUUGUAUUAUUGAUAGUUGGGCAGUUAAAUUAAAAAGACUAUAACGUAGUCCGUCUAACGCAAUGAUAAACUAUCUAACGAUAGUGAGAUAAUAGUAUAGAAGUGGUCAGAUGAUCCCAAGUCAUUUCCUAACAAAUCCAAUAGUGACUCUAUUUAACAAAAUUCAAAACCUAUCUACAAACAAUGAAAAUUAACAAUAAUAGUAAAUCAAAAGGGGUUGUGAUUGUUAAGCAGGAAAAUAUAAAUGAUGAUUUAAAAAAUAAAGAAUGCAGGUUGACUCCCAAGUUCUUCCACCAAUGAACUCCUCACAGGUUCUCUAAAUAUUAUUUCUUUCUCAAUCCUAAAACAGAGCUAAAUCAUAUUGAACAUGUGUCAAUUUGAUUCAACUAGAAACUCACUAGUAAAACAUGUGUCUAUUGGUUCAAAUGUCUCUCUGCAUUGUUAUCCAAAGUCAAAAAGGAACAUCAUUCUGUAGUAGGUUGGAUAGGGGAAAAACAGUCUUGAUAAAGUUCUAGAUGAGUAUUGUCUAUAGAACCCUGCAUGACCAAGAACAAAUCUAACCUCUUGAACAAAAAAUGGGUAAGAUAAUUGUGAAAUAACAUUUAGUUUGGCAGGGUAUACAUGGAUGCCUUUUCAUAAAUUAUAUGGCCUAAGACUAUGCCUUAUAAAAUGACAUUUUUCAUAGCCCUAAACAAGAUUAUUUUCUAUGUUCAUGAUCCUGAAAUUAACACAAAUUUGGGAAUAAAUCAUUUUUAUUCAAAUUAAAAUAAAAAAGUAUUUAAAGAGAUAUAAAUUCAUAAAUUAGGAGUUAUAUUAUAUUUAUUUUAUAAAUUAAUAUUCAUAAGUGCUUGUAUUUUAAUAUGCAAUAUUAUUAAAAUCUGACACUUAUCAAAUGCUCAAUCAAAUAAGAAAAUAUGCUCACAUACAAAGCUGGAAGGUUCCAAGGGCAUUCUUCUAUAAGCAAACUAUCUAAAGGGAUAGGUAAAGGUGGUCUUGUGCUGAUCUUCUGGUGCAAUACAAAUAUGGAAAUAACCAAAAAAAUCAUCCAAGAAAAAAAAGUAAUGUAUCUUACCUGCUAGACAUUCAAGCAUUUGAUCAAUGAAACCCUUCUGUGUGGCUUGAUUAAGCGUCUAUACUCAAUAGAGACAUUGGGAAUAAGUUCACCACGCUAGUUCUUUAUCACUGCUAUCCCAUAUUUCUUGGGAACAACACUCAGGUGCUAUUAGAGAUAAGGUAUAUGAUACCAACUUGUAGCAAUUUGGUGACCUCCUUCCUUACCACAUCAAGAAUCUGGAGAUUAAGCCUGCGCUGAGGUUGUCUCACAGGUUUUGUUCCUUCUUUUAGUUGAAUUCUAUGCAUACAAAUAGAAGAAUUGAUACUUGGAAUAUCGGUCCGCAUUUAACCAAUGAAUUUUUUGUGCUCUCUAAUCACCUGCAACAGUUUUUGUUUUUUUCAUCCGAUAGAGCAGUGGAAAUAAUUAAAAGGAGUUUUGAGGUCGACCCAAUAACCCUCCCUACCCUUUUGAAGGGGUUGUGCCUCAAAGGUACUCAACUUGCAUGACCAUGCUGUGUCCAAAGGGUUCUCCUUUGAUUUGGUUUGUUAUGGUACUUUGAUCAACGGGUUGUGCAAAGUGGGCAAAACAAAGGGUGUUAUUGAGUUGCUGAGGAAAAUGGAUAGGGUUGGAAUUAGGCCUAAUUUGAUAUGUAUAAUAUGGUUGUUGAUGGUUUGUGCAAAGAGACUUGUUACUGAAGCUUGUGGGUUGUGUUCUGAGAUGGUUGGCAAAGGAAUUUGUAUUGAUGUUUUCACGUACAAUUCUUUUAUUCAUGGUUUGUGUGGGGCUGGUCAGUUUCAGGGAGCAGUUAGGUUGUUGAAUAAGAUGGUAAUGCAAGAGAACACAGACAUUUGGCCGGAUGUUUAUACCUUUAAUAUAUUGGUUGAUGGGCUGUGUAAGUUGGGGAUGGUUCGUGCUCUACUAGCAAAAUAAUAUGGAUUGUUAGGACCAUCUAGAAGAAUGAUAUGACAAGGUUAGAUACUUCACUGCUAACUUAUGUUAUUUUGAUACUGUUCACAGCAGCACACAAAAAAUAAACGAGAACGAAGUAAAAGAAAGAAACAAGCAUCCUUUUAUGAUAACUGUAGUAAUGGCAUUGCUAGCAAGUUUCUAUCUGCAGUCUUUAUUCAUAGUAGACUUUCUUGGAUUCACUCCAACUUCAGAAGCCAUAUAUAUAAUGCUUCUCCUCCUCACUUUGCAAUUUAUAUAUCAUGCUUGUGUUCAUUGAAAUACGCAGAGUUUUCAUUAUAAUUCUUGAUUGUGGAAAAUCUGCUGCUGUAUGUUUUGGUCUGUAAACUUGUAUGUUAUUUUGUAAUUUUUGUUUUAUUCUAUUGCUCCCCAGUAAUGUUAGAAGAAUUAAAUCUUUAAAAUAUAUGAAAAAAUUCUUUUGGGACAGUAGAAGGAGUCAAAGGUAGAAACACACUUUGCUCUAGUAAUUGUAUUCAUACUGAAUAGCAAUUGACUUGGGGCCAUUCAUGUUUUUGUGUUUAUUGAAUUGGUUCUUGGAUCAUUCUACCAUGGAUAACCAUAACCAUUAUUUAAUAGCUCCAUUCUAUUUAUUAAAAUAAAUAUGAAUUUUUCAUUUGUUGUAUCUCUUGAUUAGAGUUGCAUAUAGAUUAUCCCUUGACAACUGAUACGCUGUAGCUUAAAUGUCUGAAAAAAAUAUACAUGCAUGUUUCAAAUAAAGUUUUGUUGGGAUAUUAAUAUGGUUUAUUUGGUGAUGUUCAGUACAUGGAAAAGUUGCAAAAGGAGUAGUGUUACUAAGAAUUAGUUAUAUUCUUUGAGAACCAUUCAUGAAUAAACUAUGAACUAAUAAUUAUCUGUUAAAUAUAUUCUGUUUAUGUCUAUAAAAUUAGUAUAUUUGCUUGUCUAAAACCUAGAAUAUUAAUAAAAUAAUGAAUAAAAAAUAUUUAAUUAUGUUAAACAUAUAACAAUGGUAUAUAUUAUAAUAAGAGAUGAAAAAAUUAAUGCCACUUUGAGGAUGGGAUGAGAUAGCUCGCACUUUUGAUCUGAAGAGAAACAAUGUUUGUAUUUUGAAAGUAAAAGAAAACCUUAAGUGGCAGAGAAAUUGUAUUCUGUAUCCAUCACAAAUAGAGAAAUUGUAUUAAGCUAAUUGUUACAGCAAAACAGAGGAAGCGCCUUUUAAAAAGGGAAAUAAACGGAUGUGAUUGUUUUUGGUAACCGACAACCACUAAGGGAAUAAAAACAAUUAAAUAAUAAUUACAAUACCCUCCCCUGCUGGAUAAUGAAUACUCAUUAUUCCAAGCUUGGAAAUGAUGUUCUGAAAAUUAGAAUGAUUCAACGAUUUGGUGAAGAUAUCAGUUGGUUGAUCACAAGAUUGAAUGGGAAGAAGAUGAAAAAGUCAAGCAUUUAACUUCUCUCGGACAACGUGGCAGUCGAUGUCAAUAUGCUUGGUUCUUUCAUGAAAAGUUGGAUUCAAAGCUAUGUGACGGGCAGCUUGAUUGUCACAGUAUAAAACUGUAGUAGCAUUAGGCUUGAUAUUAAAAUCAUUGAGGAGAUGAGUGAGCCACUGAACCUCACAAGUAGUAGUGGCAAGAGCACGGUAUUCAGCUUCAGAGGAAGAACGAGAUACGGUGGUUUGCUUUUUGGACUUCCAAGAAAUAAGAGAAGUGCCAAGAAAAAUACAAAGACCAGUCGUCGAUCGCCUUGUAUUUGGACAUGCAGCCCAAUCAGAAUCACUAAAGGCCUUCAAUUGUAUGUUAUUGUCAGCAGCAAAAAAAAUGCCUUGUGCAGGAUUGGCUUUUAUGUAGCGGAGAAUAUGUUGAGCAGCUUGAUGAUGAUGAAUGGUUGGCUGUUGAACAAACUGACUAAGUAGAUGUACAACAAAGGUGAUGUCAGGACGUGUGUUGGUUAAGUAGAGAAGUCGCCCAAUUAAUCUGCGGUAGGAAUUGGCAUUGUGAAGAAGAGCCUUGUCUUUAAAAAGAACUUUGGUAUCAUGAAUCAAAGGAGUAGAAGAUGGCUUGCUGGCAAGCAUUCCGCAUUCGUGGAGAAUGUCAAGGGCAUACUUGCGUUGACAUAUAUGUAUGCCUUUUUUUGUUCUAGCAAUUUCCAAUCCGAGAAAAUACUUGAGGUGACCCAUAUCUUUGAUUCUGAAACUGGAAUGCAAGGAGUUCUUUAUACUGUUGAUCUCAUCAAUGGAAUUUCCAGCAAGGAUGAUGUCAUCUACAUAAACAAGUAAAGCAGUGAAAGUGCAUGCAGUCUUUUUAAUGAAUAAGGUAUAAUCUGAACUAGAUUGUAUAAACCCAACAGGGAUAAGAAAUGAGGAUAAUUUGGCAAACCAUUAUCUACUUGCCUGUUUCAGCCCAUACAAAGAUUUGGUUAAUCUGCAAACUUGGUUAGGUUUAGAUGUGAUAAGUCCUGGAGGAGGAGUCAUAUAGACUUCUUCAUCAAGAUCUCCAUGAAGGAAGGCAUUGUCCACAUCCAAUUGAUGUAGGUGCCAGUUAUGUGCAGAUGCAAGAGCAAGCAAUAAACGGAUAGUGGUCAGCUUAGCAACUGGAGAAAAAGUAUCUAAAAAAUCUAUACCUUCUAACUGAUUAUACCCUUUAGCUAUUAAACGUGCUUUAUACCUUUCUAUGGAACCAUCUAAUUUGUACUUUAUCUUGUAAAUCCAUCUGCAUCCAAUAGAAGUCUUGUUAGGAGGUAAUUCAGUGAUAUACCAUGUCUUAUUGGCUUGAAGAGCAUGGACUUCUCUGUUCAUAGCUUCCACCCAAUUAGAGUUUCUUAUGGCUUCCUCAUAAGUGUGGGGUUCAACAUGUGAAGAAAUAGCCAAAGUAAAAUUCAAAUGCUUGUCAGAUAGGAAAUCAUAUGUCAAAACAGAAGAUAUAGGAUAUUUGAUUUUGAAAUUAGAAUUAGAACCUUUGUGCAGAUUUGCAAUUUGAUGUUGAUAAUCAGCAAGAUAGGAAGGAAUUUUCUUUACUCUUCUAGAUCGUCUCAGAUCACUACUAAGGCCAUCUUGAAUAACAAUGUCAGGAUCUAUAUUAUUGAAGCUGUUACUUUCUAUCAAAUUGUCAAUACAGUUCGGAAUCUCCAAAACAGAAUCAGCAUUGUGAGCAAUUUCUGGUGUGUUAUAAGAAUUUUGAAUAUGAACAAUAUUACCUGAAUCAGCCAUGGCACUUUCAGUACAACUAUUAAGAUCAAGUAAGAGAUUAGCAUCAUCAUGAAUCAAACUAUCAUUAUUUUUAUCGUGGUUAUUGGUUAGAUUGUAAGGAAAAAUGUUUUCGUAAAAGAUAACAUUUCUACUGAUAAAAAUUUCUCUACUUUUAACAUCAAGCAGUACAUACCCUUUAAUGCCAGUUUUAUAUCCUAUGAAAACACUUUUUCUAGAUCUUGGUUCAAGCUUACUGCGAUUGUUUUCCAAAGUGGAGGCAAAACAUAAGCAACCAAAGGUUUUAAGAUUUAAAUAUGUAGGGGGUUGGCAGUAUAACAUCUCAUAAGGAGACUUACCUUUCAAAAUUUUUGAAGGAAGUCUAUUUAUUAAAUGAGUAGCAUGACUAGCAGCAUAAGACCAGUAGAUUUUAGACAAACCUGAUUGAAAAAGAAGGCUACGUGUGACAUUCAUGAUAUGCUGGUGUUUUCUUUCGGCAACAACAUUUUGUUGGGGAGUUUCAACACAAGUUCUUUGAUGCAGAAUGCCAUAUUUCUCAUACAAUUCAUUACAAUCAAAUUCUUUUCCAUUACCAGUUCUAAUAGUUUUGAUGUUUCGAUUAAACUGAUUUUUAACAAGAAUGAUAAAAUUGUGUAACAAGUUUCUAGUUUCUCCUUUAGUUUUCAUAAGAAAAAUCCAAGAGUGCCUGGAACAAUCAUCAACAAUAGUAAGAAAGUAUUUAUGACCGUGAAUAGAGCUAACAACAAUAGGUCCUCAUAUAUCUAUAUGUAUGAGAUCAAAAGUGUUUAAAGAAACAGUAUUACUUAUUUGAAAAGGGAGUUUAUGUUGUUUAGCAAGGUGAAUAUCACACAACUUAUCAGAACUAGAAUUAACAUAAGGAAAAGUUUUGCAAACUUGUUCAACAUGUUUGGAAGGAUGGCCUAAUCUAAAAUGCCAUAGGUCAAUAUCAUUCUCUUUAGAAUUAAGGACAUUACAAUUCAUCAAAUAUUUUUCUUCGUGUAUGUUAACAGGAUCAUGAAGACAAUAUAAACCUCCAUGCAAAUCAGCUUGACCAAUCGUCUUGAAUGUAGUAUUGUCCUGUAUCUGAUAGCUCUUAUGAGAAAAUAUUAGUUUACAAUUAGAAUCAUCAAUCAACUUAGGGACAAAAAUCAAUUUAAACACAAAAUCUGGUAUGUACAGAACAUUAUAAAUGGUAAGAUUAUUAUCAAAUUGUAUUGUUCCAGCAUAUUCAGCAGUGACAGUUGAAUUAUCAGGCAGUUUUAUGAAAACAGGUUUAAUUCUAAAAAAAAUUUUAAACUGGUUUUUAUCGUAAGUAACAUGAUCUGUAGCACUUGUAUCGAGAAUCCAAUGAAAGUUUGAUUUACCUGGUUUGGUAUGAUGUGUGGCCGAGACAUCUUUGUUGACACUAUGUAUUUGGUUUACAGUGUGGUUUGGUGAUUCUUGCAGUAACUUCAAAAGCUGUUGAACUUGUUCAGCAGUGAAAGGAGGAUUAUUUUGUCUUAUGUCUUGAUCACUAUUGUUCCUAUGAAUUUGACUAUCAUCACUUCUUUGAACAAUACUGCAAGAUUGGUCAUUGCCUUUCUCCCUUUCAAAAUUCUCAUUUCUUUGCUUGUACCAUGGAGGGUACCCGUGCUUGGCAUAGCAUUCAUAAACUGUGUGAUUCAGUCUGUGACAAUAUGAACAUUGUUUCCCUUGAGUAUAGCUUCUACCUCUACCUCUUCCUCCUUUCCAGUUGUUAUUUCUCCCUUGCGGUUUCCAAUUCUCUUGAUCUUGCAAUUUCCAGUUAUUCUAUUUGUUAGUGCCAUUCCAAUUUUGUUGUUUCUCAGCCAGAUUAAUCAUAGCUCUAUUAUCCAAAUUUCCAUUUCCAUUAAGCUGACGUUCCUGCUGAAUCAACAAGGCAAACACACGACUAAUGUUGGGAAGGGGUUCCAUCAUCAAGACUUGGGUUUUCAUAGUACUGUAAACCUCAUUAAGCCCUUUCAGAAAACAUAUAACGUACUCUAAGUCUCUGUAAUUGUGAGAGAUUCUUGACAGAUCACAUUGACAUGUGCCACCACAUGUGCAUCUUGGUAUAGGUCUCAAAUAUUCUAAUUCUUCCCAAAGAAUUUUCAGAUCAGUAUAAAAUUGGGUAACAUUUCUCUCACCUUGUUUGAUGGAGUGAAUCUCUUGGAGUAAAUCGGAGAUCCGAAAAUGGUUGCCUCUUGAAAAACGUUCCUUCAAAUCAUCCCAGAGAUUCUUUGCAAUGUCGAUGUAGACCACGCUUUCGGAAAUUUGUGUUGACAGGGUGCGAUUGAUCCAAGACAAGACCAUCACAUUACACCUCUCCCAAGCUUCAAACAGAGGAUCAUGGUGUUCUGGAAUGUCAAUACUGCCAUCGAUGAAUUUCAAUUUGUUAUUCGACAAGAGUGCUCUUCUCAUAUUCCUACUCCAAGAAUGGUAAUUUUGCUCACUGAGUUGAGGAUGAACAAGAACAGCUCCAGGGUUCUCACCGGGAUGAAGGUAAUAAGCACUAGAAGGAUCUCCAGAUGGAUCCUUGAAAACCUUAACUUCAGAAAUCUUGGGCUCGGGGUCAUCUUUUUUGACAGGCGAGGAAGCCAUGGAAAAGCAAGAACGAACCAAGACACACAAAGAAGAAAUAGAAGGAUUGACGGUGACGAACGCAGCGGAAUCAUAACAGGGUUCUGCAACCCGCUCUUGAUACCAUGAAGAGAAACAAUGUUUGUAUUUUGAAAGUAAAAGAAAACCUUAAGUGGCAGAGAAAUUGUAUUUUGUAUCCAUCAGAAACAGAGAAAUUGUAUUAAGCUAAUUGUUACAGAAAACAGAGGAAGCCCCUUUUAAAAAGGGAAAUAAACGGAUGUGAUUGUUUUUGGUGACCGACAACCGCUAAGGAAAUAAAAGCAAUUAAAUAAUAAUUACAAUAUGAUCUUUACAAAAUAAACUUCGAUUAUUUAUAAAUUUUAAAAUAAUAAUAACAGCAACAAUAGCAUACCCAACAACUCUGAAAAGAAUCUGGAAAUCAUAAAUGAUUGGCCAAGUAUCAUCAUGACUCACUAAUGAAAUCCUUGAUUUGAAAGCAUAGCAAAUAUUAUAAAUUCUCUCUUUCAAGGAAAUAAACUAAGAAGAAUCCAAGUUUUUGUUUGGAAUGGUUCAAAGAAUGACGUGAAACUUUUGUGCUGCAAUUCCUUCCUUAUAUCAUACUGAUCAAUGUUAUAUUAGAAAACAAAUUCCGCCACACAUUGAUCAAGCAAUUUAUUGCCGAUGAUUGGUGGUAAAUACCUUGAUUGUACUGUGGUGAGUAAUAGGAAAUUUUUUAUUUUCAUAUUUAUAAUGACCAUUAUUGCUUUUGAUAAGGGUUGUAAUUUUAAAAGUAAAAAUUUUGGUUGCUAAUUAGAUACAAAUUUAGAAAUCAUUUAAUAAUAAUACAAAUUAAUUUAGAAAUCAAAAUUUUUUUAAUUUCUAAAAUGAUCUUUAAUUUAGUCAUUAUAACAACUAAUUAUUUGUUUUUAUAAAAUUAGUUUCUAUUUCAUGAUUUUCUUGUAGUGUAUAUUUUUAUAUGCAAAUAAAUGUAAAUAGAUUUUGUGAACAAUUAAUCUUUCCCAUCCCACUAAUGAAAGUUGAUGCCAAAAAGUUUAGUUACUAAGCGAUCCACAUCAAUUUUAAUUUCUGUAAGAACUAAAAUCAAAUUUUAAACUUCAAAGAAAAAGAGCUUUUGUUUUCUAAUUUUGAUUUAAGUAUUAAUUGUAUUUUGCGCCUAAUGUUUAUCACUACUGCCCUUUAUUGGAGCAAGAGGUUGCCGGGUGUUAUAUCAUACCUCUAAUUCUUUAACCUUACCUAUUUCUUCAUUGCAGUAGAAUUCAAAUUAUGCAGUUGCUCUUACUGAUUUCUGUGCAUGCAUAUAUUUUUUACAGGUUGAUGAGAGUGUUGGUGAAGCAGGUGUGAAUACUUUGUAUUAGGAUGCACUAUGAAAAUAGGGGAAUUGAGAGACCCUUUGUUGAAUGUUUUUUGGUUAAUUUCUGACUUUGGAGAGCUCUUAAACACUAUUAUCAGGACUGUCACAGAAAGCUUAAUAUGAGCUUUCAAAUGUUACAUAAAUGACAGGUUUUCAUUUGCAGAUGUGUUUGUUACAAAGUGUUGUUACUCGAGAGUUUGCAUUUCCUUAGGAAUGUACCUUACUAUGAAGACGUCCC
rnacentral:lncRNA from 1 species